rnacentral:lncRNA from 1 species
UCUUCUCCCCUUAUUAUUUCUGAGAAACACAAAAUAGAGUUUGCCAAGGAUUCAGUCGAAAUGCAUCAAUUGGAUUCGAUAGUUGUAUCUUGUAAAUAGACGUCCAAGAUCUACGUACACAAGAGUAGGGGCGAAUUUCUGUCUUAGGAGAUUGCUGCAAGCAAGCCUCUAUCAAAUUCAACAAGUCAGUUUCAUUUCUUUCAGUCAUUUGAUUUCAUUUCAUAGUUUCAAUUGAUAUUGUUGUUCUUAAUAAAACAAGAGUUGUGUUCUUCAAUUUCAUUCAAGUUCUUAUAUAUCUCUGUUUAGUUAAUUUGUGAUAUACAACAUCUUGUGUUGAUUGGGUUGUUCCAUAAACUUACUGUACCCUUGUUCUAACAUCCUAUACCUUCAUUCUCAUGAUGAAUUCUAGGGCUUUGGGCUCCUCUUGGUAUGGUGUUUUGUUUUUUUAUGGGAUGGUGCCCAGAAUAAAUGGGUGAUCUCGUAGUUCUUGGUCGUGAAGAUUUCAUUUUAUUUUCCCACGAGGCCGAACCUAAACAAGUGCUCGAGAGAUAGCUGUCCAUUUCUGCCGCAAAUCUCCUGCCAUGCCUCUUGUUUCUCUUGAGGGAAUGGCAUGGUGUUGUUUAAUAGAUGUCGAGUCCUUCUUGAGGAAAGUAACUGGGUGAGAGCUCCUAACUAGCACAAUUUGUCAUCAUUACUCUUGCUAAUAAGACACUUGCUUUGCACUUCUCACUUUUGACUAGAAUGGUGACCGAAAAUCGACUAAGUAGUAACAAAAUUUUUGUUGGACUCAUUCAUGAAAUUUUUGCUAGUCAUAUUUGAGUUAAAUUUUAGUCACAUUUGUUGAAAUGUUAUUUUGGCGAGCCACUUUAGAAAUACGUCUUCAUCAAUACUCUUUAUUUUAGUUAAUAAUAAAUUAAUAUUACUCUUCAAAUAAAGAUUAAAUAGUUAAAAGUAACUUGACAGCCUGGUCUACUCUAGCUAACUCAAGUUAGUCAUACAAUGACACGUGUGCUUUUGUAAUUGAAGAAUUUUUAAUUUUGUUGAAGAGAUAACGGUGAGACUCACGAUGUUUGUCGAAAAAAAACCCUUAACCCAAAGUUCAAUCUCCUUUCCUUUUCCAAAUUCCUCUUCCGAACUUACAACCUUCUGCUGAAUAACAAAAACAUGGCUGCUGAAUUUCUCAUUAAAACUGAACGUCCACACCCUCAAAAUACAGAUUACUACAACAUUGCUUUCUAGGAUAGAAUCAAAACCCCAAGAUUAACUAAGAAGUCAUUUCAACCCAGCAUUGAUACACAAAUUUUAAAACCCAAAAUCAGAUUCUCAUAACACAAACAUGGAAUUUUGGACUGUUUUUCUUCAAUGGAGCACCCAACAAGACAAGAGAUACGAACUAGAGCUGGGGAUUAGAAUCGGAUCGAUGCACCGUUACUCCUUCGGAGAAGGUAAAUUCCUGCGAGUGCUCUGAUUCCACCAAGUCGAUUGGGUUUGACGUGCUACGACUGUGAGUCUUCCAAGAAGAGAUUAAAUGAAAUUUGAUUUUGAAUCUUAAUACUUACCUUCGUUCAUAGGGGUAGGAGGCUGUGUUUGGAAUAGAAAUUUGGAAGAGAAGAGGAUACUGAACUUUAGGUUACAGGGAUUUUUUUUUUUUGUCUUCGUGAGUCUCCCAUUAUCACUUCAAUAGCAUUAAAAAAUCUUUAAUUAAAAAAGACACGUGUCGUCGUAUGACUGGCUUGAGUUAGCUAGAGCAGACCAGACUUUGGUCUGCCAAGUUCAUUUCUAAAUAGUUUAAAUGUAUUUAUGUACCAUGUUAGAGCUCCUAAAAUAUACAAAAAAGUUAAACACGCUCUCUAAAAUAAUUAAAAAGUCAAAAUAGAGAGUUGUUAAAGAUAUUAUUAGUCAUUUUACAUUUGAGCAUUAUAAUCUCAAUAAUUGAAAUAUGAGUAAUUUUAUAUACACAUCAUUUACUUAAUACAUCACUCAUCUAGAUUUUCAUCUCAAUAUGUGACCGAGAGAGAGUUAUUUUUUCUUUCUCCAUUCGAAACUCAUGAACAAAGAAAAAAGGGGCAUUGUGGUGCAAAUAUCUUCAACACGAGUUUUUAGGUAUAAAGAAAUAUUUCUUCAUGACUAUAAAUAAAUAUUUCUUCAUGAUGAUUUAGCUAUAUUAAAGGUGUAAUUGCUUCGCGGUGAAUCUUGUUCUAGUCAAAAUAUAGUCUAGGCCCAAAUCUGAUCACAUACGAAUUGGGUUAUGGAUGAAUCAUGUAGUGUGGGGGCAAAUAUUUUCGAUAUGGGGUUUUGAAUAUGAGUGAGUAUUUCUUAAUGUAGGACAAAUCAUACAUGGAGUGGGAUCAUCUCGUGUUGAAUCUAAUCACGGGGCAAACCUGGUCAGGCCCAAAAGUAGUAUAAGCCCAACCUGAUCACAAAUAGAUUGGGCUAUGGGUGAAUUGUGUAACGGUCAAAUUGGUCACGAAUAAAUGGGUAACGGUAGUGGGCCGUGCGCGGAAUGAGAUAAGUAGUUGUUGAAGUAGGUUACAGACGAAUUGGGUUAACGUACAUUGUGACCAAGCCAAGACGGGAGAGGUCAAACAAGACUAAUAUUUGAACCAUAGUAAAGAGUACCAGAAAGCAUCUAGGAAGAACAUGAUGAACAAAGAGGUCUUGGUGUAACAUUGAUUAAAACGUGACCACAUGGAAAUAAAUCACGUCGUGGUCGAAUCACAUUUCAGUCAAAUGGUCAAGUCAUGCCAAAUAGAAAUAGUCGACGAUAGAAUCUAGACAUGGACUUUCCAUGAUGUCCACGAUUUGAAGUCGAAGAUCCAGUCAUGUGGAACUUACGAAUUAGACGCGCCACGACGCAUUAAAAUCAGGUAGUCAUGACGAUGUAGCAACUAUAAGUACAACAGAAUCGAAUGUUUAGGGAGGAGGAAUACCGAAAACACAAAACUAAGUUCAAGUCAAAGCCAAAUCAACCACGCAAGUCCAGACUACUCCUUUACGGAAUCCUCAAACACACCACCACCUAAUUCCCAAACCAAAAUCCUUCAUUCAACAUUCCAUCACAAACCAAAAAGUUUUCAUUCCCGCUCCAGUCAAAAGAGGUUGGUGAGGAAAUCUUUUUAGCGAAUUUUUUCACACCAACAGACAUUCUAAACUUAGAAAUUAUUAAUUUCUUAGAAUGAAAAAGAAUGAAAUUAUUUAUCAAAAUUUCAUUGCACAAUUUGUGUUUACUUACUUCAAUAUUUUCCAAAAUAAGUUUCCGAUUUUAAUAUAUUAAUUUGUUCUAUAUUUUCACUUUAUUAGUUUCUAAAAUUAAAUAUUUUAACUUUAUAAGUUUUCAAAAAUAAGUUUUUGUUCUAGGAUAUUUUGUAUCUUUCCAGAUAUUCUUUAUGUGUGUCUUGGCCUUAUGCUAAUAGGAUAUGUAGUUAGACUAGAUUUAUGUAUUCAUAUCUUUACCAUAUUGGUAUUGUGUAAUUCCUGUAUAAAGAGGGCUCAUAUCAAUGAAUAAGAUGAUGAUUCUCUUGCUAUCUCUUUGUCUAUACCCUUUAUACUUCAUCACGUUAUCAUGCACUUUAUUUUAACCCUAGAGCCAAUAGCCCACCAUUUGUUUUCCAAACCCUAAAAUCGGGCAGCCUUGUUUUUCCCAAUUUCUGACCAAAAUUCCGACUGCCCUCCGCCAGAAUUUUAUAUCCCCAGAAAGCUCUCUCCAUCCCGGAUCCAACGCCGUCGGCCUCACCCUGAGAACCGGCCGGAAAGUCUCCGAACCGGCCACCGGAAAGUUCUAGACCACCGCCGCUACCGACCACCGGUUCACGACCUUCCCUCGUUCCGAUCAACCUGAAUUUUUGACAGAAGCUUCCUUAUCCAGAGCUGCUCCUCCUAUCAAAUUUUCAGCCCCAAAUUCAAAGUAGAAGUAGGCGAAACGUUGUUUCUCCUCUCGGCAGCCUCUAGAAACCAAAGAUUUCAAGAUUGCUUGUCUUUAAACCUGUAAAUGGACCGGAUAUUGAUCCAGACCCGCUCUGAAUCCGUAGUUUUUAAACGGGUCUAGAUCGAAAAUUUGACCUGUUGAUCCGUUAAGGGCCCGGAUCCGUUUACCCGUUUAUUAAACGGAUCAGAUACGGAUCGAGGUUGAUCCGACCCGUUAAGGACCCGGAUCCGUUUUAAAAUAAUUAAAUAAUAUUUUUAUAAAUAUAAUAUUACAAAUAAAUAUUAAAUAAUAUAACAAUUCUGGAUAACCUAAACGUCUACAUUAAACCUUACCAUCACUCGAGACGCUGAUGAUCGAGGAAAGCCAACGUUUGGUUUACCAGAAAGCUUAGAAGGUUGUGCUUCAUUAAAGCAAUCUCAUCCCCUCUCAGAUGUUAUUCAUGUUAAUACGUCUCUCACUCUAUAUGAAAGAAAGAAGAAACUCUGCUCCACUUUGGUUAUCAAACUAUUGAUCUGGUAAGAGAGCCAUAUCUCCUUUACAAAUUUAUUCAAUCUUUUCAACAAUAUGUUACUGGNNNNNNNNNNNNNNNNNNNNCUGGUUUGAAUCCCUGUGUUAUCCAGGUUAUUCUUGAUUUCAAAGAUGGUUGAUGAUGAUGGGAAAAAGAUGAGCAGGGGGAUGUUGUCGAAGUGGAUGCUAACGGGAAGGCUAUAGAAGUACCUCCAAAUUUGUCAAAGAAGCGAAAAUUGACGUCAAAGGUAUGGCUUGAAUUUGAAAAAAAAUAAAUCCAGAUGGAAGUCAAACUGCAAAAUGUAAGCAUUGUCGUAAGUCAUAUGUGUCUGGGUCUGAUAAAGGAACAAGCCAUUUGAAGAAGCAUUUGGGUAAUUGUACUAGAAGAAACAAAAGAGGCAUUGAUCAACUAAUGGUAGUUGCUGAAACUAAUGAAUCAGGUGAUACAUCAAUUGAAAAAUUAAGUUUGAUCAAGAGAGAAGUCGUAUGGAUUUUGCUAAGAUGGUCAUUAAGCAUAACUAUUCAUUUAGUAUGGCUGAGCAUGAAUAUUUUGAGAUUUUUUUAAACCAUCUUCAACCAAGUUUCAAGCUUGUGUGUAGAAAUACAGUCAGGUCAGAUAUUCUCAAAGUUCACAAAAAAGAGAAAGAACAAAUGUGCAAUUUUUUUGAACGAUAUCCUGGUAGGGUCAGUCUUACUACUGAUAUUUGGACUUCUGAUCAUCAAGAUAUUGGAUACAUAUGUCUGACAUCUCAUUUUAUUGGUGAGGAUUGGGAAUUGAAAAAGAAAAUACUUGCUUACAGAUGUAUUGAAUAUCCUCAUGAUGCAGACACUCUUUUUCGAUAUAUCACUGACCUGAUUUUGGAUUGGAAUCUUGAAAAGAAAUUAUUAUCCAUGGUGGUGGAUAAUGCAUCUGUUAAUGAUGCGAUGGUGAGAAGCUUAAAGAGUUGGCUUUGUGACAAGUCUUUGAUCUUAUUGGAAGGUAAAUUAUUUCAUGUUCAUUGUUCUACUCAUAUUCUUAAUUUGAUUGUUCAAGAUGCGUUACAAGUGAUUGGAGGCUUCAUUUUUAAGGUCAAAGAAUCUGUAAAAUACUUGAAAAGGUCCGGUUAUGCAACACAGAAAUUUAAUCAAGCAAAAACCCAACUCAAGUUGAAGGAUAAGAAAAAGGUUAAAUGGAUUGCCCUACCAGGUGGAAUUCAACCUUUUUGAUGAUUAAAAGUGCUCUUGAAAUGAAAGAGGUGUUUUGGCGCUUGUCACAAACAGAUCGAAAUUAUAAACAUCAUCCCACUGACGAGGAGUGGAAAACAGCCGAAGUUAUCUCUGAUUGCUUGGAACAUUUUUAUGCUGCAACGAAUCAUUUUUCUGGUUCUAGUUUUCCUACCUCAAAUGUGUUCUUUCCUGAUAUAUGUAAGAUUAAAAUGCAUUUGUCUAAGGGGGAAAAGAGUGAACAUGAGUUUUUGCGAUUGAUGGCUGUCCCCAUGAAAGAGAAGUUUGACAAAUAUUGGGAUGAAUGCAGCUUGGUUCUAGCAGUGGGUGUUGUUUUUGAUCCUAGAUUUAAAAUGCAGCUGAUUGAAUAUUAUUUUGAAAAGCUUCAUGGUUCGGAAGCUUAUGAGUAUAUUGAAAGAGUUCGCACUGCUAUGUUUGAUCUUUUCACUGAGUAUGAAGAUGAUUCAUCUCAAUCUGAGAUGGAAUCAAAUUUGCAAUUCAGUGGUUCUUGUAAUGACAAAACAGUGGCUUCUAGAGAUGAUGAAUUGAGUGGAUUUGAUGCAUUUGUGAGGGAAGGGUCUUCUCAUAUUGUUGCUAAGAAAAAAUCAGAGUUGGAGCAAUAUCUGGAGGAGCCUUUGUUUCCAAGAGCUGAACCCUUUAAUGUUUUGAACUGGUGGAAAAUUAAUAGUGCAAAAUGUCCUACUUUAGCAAGAAUGGCUCGUGACAUAUUAGCAGUUCCAGCUACUACAGUAGCUUCUGAGGCAGCAUUUAGUGUUGGAGGAAGAGUGAUUGAUGAAUCUCGUGCUUCUAUGCUUCCAGAAACUGUAGAGGCUUUGGUGACUACAAAAGAUUGGCUUCCCUCUCGAAAACGGAAAAGUAAGUUUCUGUGGUAUUUAUAGGCAUUUAACAUUAUUGCUGAUGUUUUCAUUAUAUAUAUGAGGUUCCAAUUUUUCUUUUAUGUUUCUUUGUGUGAAGGAUCUGUCUCACAAUCUGAAGAAGAAGAGGUGCCAAAAUGAACUCAUGUCCUGCCGUCCAGUGCUGCAGAGAUAUGUAAGUAUAUUUAUUUAAUUAUUGUGUUACUUUCUAGCUAAUUGUCUUACUCUUGUUUAUACCUAACAGCAACCUUUGUCUUCGUUGAAAUCACAUAUAUAGUCUUGUAUUUAGUUGUCUUGUAUGAUUGGGUGGUUAGCUUCAUCAAUCAUUAUAAUAGUUGCCAUGAAAACAAACUAAUUAACUGUUUUCUUUUGUUUAUACAGGUUUUGACUCGUGAUGAUAUCUAAAUAGCGUCUAAAGUUUGAUUUGAUGAAGUUGAAGGUUAUUGAUGCUUAUGUUCUUUUUGUGCUCCUAGCUUCAUAAACAUUGGAGGUCUAGUAUUUUGAUUAAAUUAGUUUAUCGUUAAGGAUUAUUUUGGCCAUGUAAUUCAACUUUUGAUGUAAACCUUUAUUUUGCUAUAAUAUUUUAUUAGUGUUUUAUGAAAAUUUAUCAUAAAAUUAUGAAAUUAUUAUUUAAAAUUUAAAAAUAUUUAUUAUUAUAAUUUAUAAACGGAUCCGAUUAACGGGUCGGGAAUCCGUUAACCCGCCAGAUCCUUUACAGGUCUACUUGUCUUCCAAGGAAAGCCAGAAAGGUUCCCAACCCUCGGUCGAAGCCUGCAAUUGACUCAAACUCAUCAGAGCUCCUAUAAACGCAGUUUAUUUGGCAAACUAGCAAGUAAGCUUUAAUAUUACAGUUAUUUACUUUGGAAUAACUCGGGGGGAUAAAAUCCUUUCUCCCUUCUCCAUCUUCAUUCUAUGCUUGGGAUUUUGUGUGUGCAGGUACCAAAAAUCCCAGAAUUUUAUUCACGGGUCAAGAGUGUGUUUGAUCACUCUUGUUUCCUUGUCCGGGUUGUGUAUGAUCAACCCCGACCUAUCACCGAAUUGUGUUUGAUCAAUCCGAGGCCUUUUCCGAAUUGUGUUUGAUCAAUUCACGGCUUUUCCGGAUUGUGUAUGAUCAAUCCGAAGGACAAACCAUUAAAAACAUCGUUUGUGACCUCUAUUGAGUCUUAUAACAACUUCGUUUUGAAUGGAAGAGCAACGUAAAAUUCUGCUCAUUUGAGUUUUUACAUCGUCCUUAGAAGCAUGGCAUAUUUACAAUCUACAUGGUUAGAUUGUGCCGUUUUGGUCUCUUCCAAGUGAAGAUGACACCUUGCACCCUCAACAAGGAUCGCCCACGUGUUUUCGGUUAAGUCUUCUACCCUAUAGCGGAUUUUUCAUCAUCAAUUGUUCAACUAGGCUCAUCCAAGCUCAGUGUGAUGUCUUAGAAUUGUCCAAAAUUAAGGAGAUAGUGGUUUCAAGUGUGCCUCACACUACCGAUCCUCUACGGACAUGCCUAGUCAUACUGACUUGGAGUUACCGAAAGCUUUUUAUUUUGGAUCCCCCUAGGCUAUUAAACCAAUUGCCGUCUCGCAAAAGACAUUGGAGACUUAUCAAAACCGGAAAAUUAUCAUCAUGAUUGAAUCCUCUAGGUCCUCUGAGUUAGUUUAUGUUCAUAUCAGGGAGCUUUUGCUAACUAGUCAUGGAGUUUACCACCUUAGAACGACCGAAAGGACUUGGUUUUGAUCAUACACACGUCACUUUUGGCUAAGGCAAAAGCCUACACGCCACCUGUAAGCUUCACAGCUUCGCACAUGCCAAUUCUGCUAAAAACACCAAUCUGUCCCUUCUGGACAGUCAACUUCGUUUGAGCUUUGUGAACAGUUUCGGACGAAUCAGACAGUGAGCUUUAUAUCAUUGGAAAGCUCUACGAGUUUAGUUUUCAGAACUUUUCGCGGUUCGUCCAUAUCUAUUUUGACGAAGAAGUUAUGGCUGUUUUAGUGCGCAAAGGUCAUUCUGCGCCGAAAUUUUUAUACAUUCUCGGGAUUGCAGCUUUUUGUAGCUUCUUUCAAUCCUUCUAAAUGGUUCAAGUGGAAUUAUUUACUCGCCUAUCUACUCCUUCUUGUAGAUAUGUCUCAUAGAGACAUUGAGUGUUUCGCAGAUAGUGGAACUACCCACAACAUUCUAAGGACCGACAACUAUCUCUGGAUUUUGUGCCUUGUAAAUCUUCUGUGACUACAAUGAUUGAAUCAUGCCUCAUGGCACCAUGAUCAACGUCACAGAUGCCCUCUAUGCAUUGAGUGGCAACCGAACCAUGUUAAGUUUUAAAGACAUUCUUGCUAAUGGUUUUCAUUUGAAAACACAUUGUGAGAAUGAACAAGGAUAAUUUUGUGUAUACCUUCUCAUGAAUGCGGACUGAAACGCAUCUUAGAGAAAUUCAUGAGUCAAUCUAGUGGACUGUAUGUCACUACGAUUCGAAUAUCGAAUCCCAUGUUGUCGCCAAACAUAAUAUUUGGGACACCGACUCAUAUAGGCUUUGGUUUGACCAAAUUGGUCAACCUGGAAGAGAUAUAAUGGUCCAAAUUUUGAGAAAUUCUCAUGGACAUCCAUUCUUCCGCUCAAAACGAAGACAUUCGAGAUCUAAAAUCACCAUGAAACAUGGUGGUGACCCGGGGGACAUUGACGUCACCCGAACACGACUCCAACUUCCUGGAGGUUGUCCGGUCAAUUCCUCAAGCAAUUGAGGUGCACCGGCCUUCCCUCGAUGUCGCAUUGGCCCCCUGCAAUGCUCAUUGCUCGUUUUAAAAGCCUAUUCUUUAGCUAAAUUAGGAGUGAGACCCUUCUACGCUAAAUAACACAAAAGUGAACAUUCUAUUCUUACAUCAAACUAUGUAGAUAGAUACAACCAACUUGCGGACACCUUUUUAUGCUUUAUGGUGUUGGUUGAAGUGUUAACACACUAGUCACAUGUUACACUAUUAUCUACUGCUUAUGCUGCUUAUACUUCUACGGGCUCACUACCCAUUCUUUAAAGAAGUUUAUCGGGAUGUAAGUUCAAGUGUCAUGUACCCCAUGUUCACACACAAUACGGUCUCACCGAGGCUACGACCAAGCAACUUUAGCUUGUCGCUCGAACAUUAUUGAUGCGCACCAAUCUUUUUAUUGCGUCUUGGGGCUAUGCAAUAUUUACAUGCAGCUUUACUAUUCAUCUAAGACCCACCAUCAUUGAAUAUUGUUGUACUACAGCUCGUGACUGUGUACCAGGAUUGACACGAAAUUGCAAUCCUUGAGCUCGGUAGGAUUGAAACGGAUCUCCAAUCCUUGAGCUCAGCUAAAUGUUUAUUCUGGGUGCUAAAUCGCACUGUCACUACGCACAAUGAUGGGUCAUUUGAGAUGAAUAAGUAUUUAGGUUAGAUAUGAACCUCCACCUAUAAUCCACAUAUGUAGAAACCUUGUCAGGCAAUCUCUUUCACCGCUAUAUUGCGGAUGGUCACUUUGAUGAGACAAUAUUCCCGCCAUUAGGGGGAGAUAAGAACACAAGUGUUCAAGUGGAACGACGUGAAUUGUCGUGGUUUGUCCCCACUAAGUCUCAUCUUGAUCUCAAAUGCUUAAAGUGUUAAAGUGACGAGAUCACAUGCUGCAAAUAUGUCUGCAAGGAUUGAUGUCCUAUCAAGAGGACAUGGCGCGACCAAACUGAGUUGGUCUUGACGCCAUCACCAUGGAUGGUGAUAUAGUGACGCCAUAUAGUGGCAAAAUUGGUGUCACAAGGCCAUGUGGCUCCCUAAAAUUGGUGUCACAAGGCCGUGUGGCUCCCUAAAAGGAGGGAGGCCCUUAGGUUCGAUAUUUUCUCGCACUAGGAAGAAAGCGAGUUUGGCACAACCUAAUCCAUUGAUAAGUGAUACUUAAAUCCGUCUCAUGAAGUCUGAAUUGUGAUUAUCGUUAGGGGACUCCUCAAUGUCAAAUCCAAUCCAUAUAGAGAUCUCCACAAGAUCUCUACAAAUAUUACACUAGUGUACAUGAGGACGUGGGAUAAUGAGUCUACUAUCAAACCACCCUUCGUUGAUGGAUAUCAACUUAGUUGAUUGGUCUAAUGGAAAGAUGCGAUCCAGCAUUAACAAAGAGAUAGGUCCUUAGGCAGGUGAUGCCAACACCGCAAGCUAAACUUUAUCAACUAUACCUUUGUUAGAUAGCGUAGUGAGAACAAGAGGUUAGACUCACCUUAUGGCGCAAGGUCUCUCACUAACACGUAUUGAGAUCGACUACGAUGAGAUAUGCUCUCGUAGUGGAUGUCAUUGAACUCCACUAUUUUGUCAGUUUGAUAGUUUCCGAAUAAUUGAACAUGCAACCUAUAAAUGUGGUCAUAAUAACAUCUCUAUGGGAUCAGAGAUAUACAUAAAGGUCUUAAACGGACUUCAUUCAUCUGAAUCAAGUGGCUCCAAACCACAGGAGCAUGCGUUUGCUAAAUGUAUUAAAACGCACAUGGACUAUAUUUGAUUUGGAAGGGAUAUGGUGAAUUAUGCCUUUGCGUGCUCAUUCUAGAUUUACAUGGACUCUUGACGGAUCAAGAUGCCAAUAUGUAUCAACAUCCGAAGAAAAAGAUCUUGAGAAGACACGGUCUCGAUAAGGCACUCGAUGAUUGUAUUGAUGAUGAUUUUCCAUCAAUCGGCUUAGGCGCUCUAACGAAAGUGAGGCCUACAUAUACCCCAUGAUUAGUCAAAGUCUUUGAUCUAAAGAGAGAUCCGUUAUUUUUUCUAAAGUAAGAUGACAAAUAUGUGUUAAGAGAUGGAGUUCCCAUCUAAGUACAAUAAGAUGCAUCAAUGUACUCAACACAAUACAAAAGACUUGACAUCUCAUUCACUAUGAAAAGUUGUAAAGCUAAGUGUAGCUAUGUGCCCACGCAACGCCAAUGUAAUGGCAGUAACUCCUUUUUCAAUACUUAAUGGUAUGAAAGGUUGAGGCUUAUUCUAUCCCUACAUAAGAAAGACACAUCAAAAGCGAAAUCAGAAUCUGCCAAGUUUUGUAGGUCAACUUCCACGGGACCUACAGGAAAUCUCACUCACUGAAAAAUGGUGAAAUUGGUACCAUUGGAAAUUUCUAUGUGUCUACUUUCCAGGGACACCAACCAUUUGAUCAUACCUAUCAUAUUGAGUGAGUUAUGGCCGUUUUCGUAAAGUAUGACGAAUCUGUCCGAGAAUCUGAUUUUGGCAAAACAGUCAACUUCGACGGGACUUUGUGAAUAGCUCCUGACGAACCAGAACGUGUGUAAUAUACGGUUGGAAAGCUAAAUGAGUCUAGUUUCCAAAACCAUUUACGGUUCGUUCAUAUCUAUUUCCUAGAGGAAGUUACGACUAUUCUAGUAAUUGAAGGUCAUGCUGCGCGGAAAUCUGAUUUCCUGCACGAACUUAUGUUUUGAGUUCACAAGAGGCCUUCUCCUCAAGAUCUAAGUGUAAAAGAUCAUGUUUGAGGACAAUACGGCAUGAUCUGGAUAAUCAUUGCCCAAUGCCACAUUUGAAGAUAUGUUAAAAAGCAUUGACAUGCUAAGUUAUUGAAACUUCCGUGAUUAUUAAAAGUCAGGAAGAGCCCUAUGAUUGAUGUAAAGAUCAAGGGGAGGUGCAAACUUCAGGGGGAGUCUAGCACAUACAUACAUGUCGCUAUCAAAUGUGAAGGGUGCGUUGUAAUCUUUUUCUCUUACGAUCAAGAUUCAGUUUUUCUCCCACAGGGUUUUGUGACUUGACAAGGUUUUUGACGAGGCAACAGAUCAGCACCAUCGGCAUAUCAGCGCGCGGCACAAGAGGGAGUGUUCUAGGAUAUUCUGUAUCUUCCUAGAUAUUCUUUAUGUGUGCCUUGACCUUAUGCCAAUAGGAUAUGUAGUUAGACUAGAUCUAUGUAUUCAUAUCCUUAUCAUAUUGGUAUUGUGUAAUUCUUUAUGGGUGCUUCUAGAUGUACCCAGCAAAUUUCUAAAUAAACCCAGCACUUCAAAUUUUGUCACAUUUUUUUCCUGUUUUUGUCCCUUAAGUCUAUUUACACCCAGCAUCUAUUUCAAAACGUUAAACCCAGAUCCUCNNNNNNNNNNNNNNNNNNNNACUCUCUCUCUCUCCCUCUCUCUCUCUAAUCACUGUUUCUACUCCGCUCUCACUCAUCUCCUCCACUCUCUCUCCCAAGCUUCCCUCCUCAACCUGUUUAUCCACUGCUCAUUUCCAACUGAGGACAAGAUUCCAAAUAAAAAAAACUAUCAUUUUGACCUCCUCCUCUAAUGCCGUCGGUGAGGACGGCAAGGUAUUUCCCACACGGAACCGAGCGAGCGCGAACAGCCGACGUGCUUCUCCACCUGACGUAGUUGGACCUUACGGCAUUGACGAUCUCGGCGAGGAGGCGUUUAACUUCCCUUUUUAAAUUCAUCCUUUUAUACAAACGGGGUAAAAUGGGUAAUAAAAUUAAUGUUGGGUACAUUUAGCAAUUUGCUGGGUACAUCUAGCAACACCCUUCUUUAUAUAAAGGGCUCAUAUCAAUGAAUAAGAUGAUGAUUAUCUUGUUAUCUCUUCGUCUAUACCUUUUAUACUUCAUCAGUUUUCAUUUUUUUAAUUUUAAUUUGUUUUAUAUUUUCACAUUAUUAGUUUUCAAAUAUAAGUUCUACGUUUUUAACAUUCUAAUUUGUCUUCCUAAUGCAUUACACACAUGUCUUUUUUGGUCAUUUAACAUACAAAUAAAAUCUCAUUUGAAAUGUCAAAUAAUAAAUAUGAGCAUUAAGUAAUUAUGAGAAUUUUUUCAACGCUACGUGAGGACCAUGUGGCAGUAUCACAUGGUCCUCCAUCCUAGUCAAAUAUUGACAGGAAAAAUUACAUUAGCUAUUUUGGCAAAGAUAAUUUUAGAUUUGUUGUUGCUUUUUAAACCUUAAACUAUAAAAUGUAAUUAGAUGUGUGUAUUUGAAACCACUCUUGUAGGUUGAAUAAAGAAAUAUGUUACAAUGACAAUAACACACCCUAAUAAAAUAAGGCAUGGCCUAUAAAUGUUUUUUUCUUUUUUACCACAGUACUGGAACACUAGUUUUUCUUUCUCCCAAAAAGCAGACAACUGAUCCGCCAUUUUUUUUUUUUAGAAUAAAGGGUUGGUGCGGCUGCCCUUAAGUUUUCAUUAAUGAAACCGUCGAAUACAAAGAGGGGGGGACAUGAAGCCUAAACCCUUGAUUACAAAGACCCGAAAUAAUAUCGAGAAUCUCUACAACGUACAUGUAUUCUAACAAGCACCAACUAGCAAAGAGUACUACUCUAAUGGCGACUCCAUUUGUUUUGUCACAAGGUGACAUAAUGGAAAGAUCAAUAGAUUCGUAACACGAUUACAUAUCCUAAUGUCUAAGAAUGAAACUUUCCUACUAUGUUGCCGCCGAAGAUUGAAUCCGACGACACUUAGUUUCAUCCUACCACUAGGAGGUUGUAACCAUUUGACUAAGCAAAGGACACGCCACCUACCUAGAGCAGAUAAGGCACACAAGGUGCAUAGACUGGCACAAGGCCCUUUGCACCCUACCUCAAAGUGAAGGGGUAUUAUUUGCGGCCUAAAACCGCUUAGUUCUAAAACUGAAAUGCAACAAAGCAUAAUUAAAUUAAAAAAUAAAGCAUAAAGAAAAUAAAAUUUUGGACUAGGCCUAAAACCAGGCCCAGUUACCAUCCAGCCUGAGCCAAAACGCAGAGAAGCAGGACGGCGUCCACCAUACCGACGACACCCACACCUUCUGACCAUCGACGACAUCACCACCUCUCCCAGCACGUCGCCCAAAGAAUUCAAUCAAACGUAGUGCCCUAUCACGACGAUUAGAGUAGUUGUUGCUCUCGACCACGAUCAAAAAUAGACGAAACCAAAUCGGAUCUAAAUGACCCGAUAUGAAAACUGAUCCCAGCGCCAUCACCAACCAAUCGUCACCUCCAGGUGAUCCUUGAUAUCGCCAGGCCAACUCGGACCAACCUAGCCUCUUCCAAACCGCUCUCAGGUACAGCAAACCCCUCCCUGCCUCCAACUGCGGCGAUUCUCCACCAUCAAAGCCUCCCCUCUGUUGAAACAAUUGAGCGAACGCCCCACAACCCUUCUGCCGACUAGGCCAAUCUACACUAGACACCAGGUCCUCUCGGGCCCGUUCGACGGCAUCGUGUCAAGGGCGCGCCGCAGGACGGAGCAUCUCUAUCCCAACGGUCUAGGUUUUUCCUCCGAUAUUAUUGGAGCGGUCUGCUAAAUCCUUAUCCGCCCAUUUUAACACAUUUUAUUAGCACAUCUUUAAUUACUAGAUACACACAACAUAUCUUUAAUUACUAGAUACACACCUCAUACUUAAUGCACCACAUAUUGAUUUUAUUGUUUUAACAUUUUACUAGAUACAUAUACUCAAUCUUCCUACAAUACCCUUAUUUAAAAUACACCACUGAUUCAUUAAAUACACAACUCAUUCACUAAAUACACAUACUUUUCUAGAUCUGUUACUCAAUUUAUUCAAAAAAAGAAAAAGAAAAAAAGAGGAGUAUAUAUAUAGCAUCAUCCUAAGUUCUAGUUUGGUGUUCAGUUUGAACGACCUAAUAUGCAUGAACAGUAAAAUCUAAAUUUCAAACUUUAAUUUGUACUAUAUAUCGACAAUAAAACUUUAAUAAUUUAAUAUUUAAUAAAUUAAUAACCUUGAUUAAAUAAUAUUUUUACCAGUGUCGAAAUAAAAAUUAGCAAAAUUGACGUCGAUAAAUUAACAAUCUCAAUUAAAUAAUAUAUUUUACCAGUCCCAACAUUAUUAAUUUAUAGAGGUUUAAAUUAUAGCGCUUGGUAUCUUCACAUACGUUGUUCUCGUAGAAGAAAAAAACUUUUAAGCAUGAUAUUUUAUUUCAACAAGUUUUCUUUACUUUUGAUAUGAAUGUCUCUUUUGAUAAUUUUAUGUACCCACAAAAUUUUAUAUAAUUUAUAUAACAUUUAGAGAUAUGUUAAUAAAAUUUCUCUUUUAGCAGCUAGAAAAACUGUUCUCCAGCUAAUAAUCACGUUGAGCUACAAGAUAAAGGAAUACCUAUUCCAACCUUGUAAUUAUACAAGAAUCACAAAGAUAAAACAAGCAUUACAGCAUGUCAGAUUGUUAAUUAUUGUACUUCAAAUAUACCUCAAGGCACUUGUGGCUGGUACUAUUAAAUGGGAGUGAGCUAUUCAUACCGGAAAUAACUUUUGCAAAAUCGCCCACCAUCAACGGUGGAAGAAUCCAAUCCUAUAAAUCAGUCUAAAUGCAAUACAAGGGAACAAAAAAAGGCCCUCAGAGUUUGGAUCCAAAGAGAAGAAAGCAAUAAUGAUGUUACAGUUGAUGUACAAGCCAUGAUGUCGCUUCCUAGUUACUAGGAGGCAGUAAAAGUGAUACAAACACUCAGAUCAACGUUGUAACCAGCAAAUUUUCAAAUUUCUAGUACCUCUGCUGCUCUCAAUGACUCAAUCGUACAACCCUUCUUGCUCCCAAUUGUCCACUAGAAAAUCUACCAUUUCCUGUUGACGUGAACAACAAAAAGCAAUUAGAAAAAAUGUCCAUAAUGAACUACUACAUACUUGCAGGGGCAGAGACUCACAGAGAGAGGGAUAGGCUGAGUGAAAGGCUUGUUACUCCCCAGUAAACUUUCGUACGUCGCAUUCCAACUGCAAAGGCAGAACAAUUUAAGGAUGCUGAAACAAAGAGUUCUAGCAGAGUAUAGACAGGUAUUCACGAAUAUACAAUGGCUACUUUACAGAGAAUGAAGUUUUGCAUGUAUUGUGAAAAAGAAUAGUGCUGUUCUUUGAUCACCUUUACGAAAAGCAGGAAUGGAAACAAAGAGCUACUAGCUAAGGGCUAGUUUGGUAUUGCUGUGACUUUAAAAAAAAACUGCUGCUGCUGUACUGUGAAAAUAAUCAACUUUGAAUUAAAACAGUUUUGUGUUUGGUAAAUAUUAGUUUUAAAAGUGCUGCGAAAACAAAAUUUAUUAAUUUCUAGUGUUUUUAGUGACAGCUACUUUUAAAAGUAACCUUCAAGUUGCUUCUAAAAGCUGCUGCCAGUGAACUGUAAUUUUCAAAAAAAAUUGUUUUUCUUUCAUUUACCAAACACUAUAAAAUCUAAAACUUCGAAUAAAAACUGAUUUUUUUUAAAAGCGAAGCUGUACCAAACUAGGCCUAAACCUAACUGUCUAUCAAUUAAUAUGAAUAUACGUUGAUGUCAUGUACCUAGCUACGUGGUCAUUUAUUCCUCAGAAGUUAAAUGGUUCUUUUUGGUAUAUGUAAACCAAACUGCUCCACACAAAACUUCAGGAGAUCAAAAACCCGACAUGUAAUUUACCUUAAUUUGGGUUCCCGAAUUUGCUGUGGCUGCUUCUCAGGCUUUUUGCUCCCUACCCAACGCUGCCUAGUUUGGUUCCAUAGAAGAAGACCUGCAGUCGAGAUCUUAUAUCACAUAACUUUAACAAAGCUCCACAAAAACACAAGCACAAUCAACAAAAAAAAAACAAAAAAACAACACGCAGACAGGAAUCAAGGAAACAAAUAAUAUCAACAGCACAGAAGCUAAUAGAACACACAAGUUGGAAAACCAUUCUUGAAACCAUGGAAAACAUAGUCUUUUAAACAAAACCUUACAAGAUCAUUUCAGGAAGGAUAUCUAGUAGAUAUAAGUGCAAAAAAAACAAAAACAAAAAUAGGAAAUGGGCUGUUAGAGACUCUCUGCCAGAUUAUAAUUAGUAGUAUGGUUACUGGUGUUAUUACUGUAAGUAUGAGAAACAGGCUGUUGAUAAAUCCAUUGAAUGUAAUCAUACUUCCAAGGAAACUCAGUCCAUUGGAUGGCCAUGGGGUGUUCCGAUAGGAGCAACCUGAAAGGGACUCGCUAAAUGCUUUUCCUAUGUACACAACAUACUCCUAUAGAGACAUGCAUAACUUACAAAGUACUGAAACUUUAAUGAGCAACUCUAAAAACUUGCCAUGAUUUACAAAUUCAGAAGGAGCACUACUGCCAGCAGAACCACCAUGCGGAUCAAGGGUCUGGUUUGUGCUGAUUGAUGAUAUGCUUCCCUGUGACAGAACUGCACUGUUGUCCAUAUCCCACGUGCUGGUGGUCCAGAAGCCUUCUGAUAUACUAGGUUUCCUUUCUGUUGGCUUUUUAUUUGAUCUUUCUUUCAGUUUCUCAUCCACUGAAGUUUCCAGUUUGGUUUUAGUAUGGCACGCUAGACAAGCACUGCUCUGUUACAAAUCACACCAAUUCUGUUAGAAAUCAUGUAUAAUCAUUUCAUUGAACAAUACAAAAUUACAAACUACCAAAAAGAGAAUACAAAUCAACCUGCACAAGCCAUUAAACUUCACAUUCCCAGUUAAAGUCCAUUUGUGUAUUUAGUAAACACGCCCCCAUAAAGAAAGUUCUCCAACCACGUCAAGAAAAAUUGCUCUCUUUUGGAAUAAGUGAAAAAUUUUAAGUGUCCAUCACUCAGACAUGUGACCACACAAUGAGAUCACAUUGACAGAGUUGCACUGCUAAUGUGUAAUUGUCAGCGAACCCCUCUGCUACAGAUGAACCAAAGAGGAGCCCCUCUACUACAGAUGAGCCACAUAGUUCCACCACUAAUGUGUAAUCGUCAGCAAACCCCUCUACUACAGAUGAGCCAAAGAUCUCCUUCUUACCCAAAAAAUAUUUCAAACAUUGUUGCAUGGGAUGCCAGAAGCAUUUAAACCUCUGAUCAAUAGGCGUUGGAAAUUUUAUUCCAACCGAAUCGACCUUCUCAUCAUUCUUUCCAUUAGAUAGACAGAAUACAAAAACAAAAACAACUUGAAAAAAGGCUUUUAGCAUUGCUGAACCAUCUACUAUCAUAUAAUUAGACUACACGAACUCCUUGAAAUUCCUCAGAACUAACACACAAGCGCAUAAAACCCACAAAUCUCAUUUCAAGGAAUUUUCUAUCCACAUAGUGUGAUUAUAUUGCACUUCUUCAACUUUAAAAAUAUUAACUGCACCAAAACGAUCAUUUCAGGUACAACUGUAUCCUAUUAACACACAAAAACAGCAGACAAAGACAACCCACAUAAAAUCAACGCCAGAAAACCCGAUCAAUCAAUCAAAUGAAACCCAGAAAAGAAAUCGGAAAACUUACCCCAUGCAUUCAAUUCAAGGUAGACCCAGAAAGCAACAAAUUGGAUCCACUGGGGAGGAUUACGCCCCGGAAUAUCCAAUCGGUAAUCCGAUUCCAGGAAACAAAGAGCCGCUUCUGAGAAUCCAAAACCAAACACAAACAGAUAUGAGCCUCAAACUUGAAAUAAGAGAAUGAAAAAUCAAAACUGGUAAGAUAGAGACUGACCCGUGAGAAAAUGAGUCUUGUUUCCUGAAACCGGAUUCCAAAGGCAACCCACCCGCUCUCUGAAGCAACCGCCCAGAAAAGGAUGGCCCUUUGGAUUCUUUGUUUGUUGGGUCUGCUGCUUCUUCUUCUUCUGACAAUAAUUGGGAAUUGGAGGAGAAGCGUCUGACUUUGAUGGUAGAAUUUUAUAUAUGGUGGGAUUGUUGAGUGGAGUUUGGAUUCCCACCAUUUGAUUAUUUUACGUGGGAAUUUUAUUCCCACUUUUUACCGUCCAUUUUUCACUACUCAUUUAUGAUUUUACUGUUUCUGUUUCUUACAUUUGUAUGAUUUUAUUUAAAAUAUUUUAUAAAAAAAAGUCAAAAACCUUUCACCUUGACUAUUGACAUAAGUCUCUCUUUGUAAGUGAGAGGUCAUGAAUUCGACUCAUAACAGACUCGUUAUAGCAUAUUAAUUGUUUGUUUGAUCCCAAAAAAAAAAAAGAAAAAACCACAUUCAAGAAAUUUGACCUUUAACAUCUUGGUUGUUGUUUGUAAUGGUCACUCUAAAGUUGAGAUAAAUGAAAUUAUUGCGAUUUUGAUUUAAAUAAUCUAUGUGUACAUUUUUCUUUUUUAGCUUUUUCUUUUUUCUUUUUUGAGAUAGUACAUCUAAAGCAUGGUGGUCAAGUUAGGUAUUUAAUUAGUCCUCUGUGAUGGAUCGUCGACAAGGCUUCGUGGCUGCAUCGAUAUGGUAAUAUGCAUGGGUGAUCUCGAGUGGCUUUUGCUUGAUCUGCUAUGCUUUCCAGGAGAUGGUAGCUCUUGCUAUACUUUUUCUAUCUAUUAAGAAAACUUCGUCUUGUCAUCCUCAGCUUUUAUAACAUCUGAAUUAAGGGGCUCUACUUCAACCAAAUUUUCUUGCGGAAGUUGCAUGGUGGUGAUGGUCGUUCAAGAGGAAGGGCAUCGUCAGAAUCUACAAUGCUAAGACUGGAUCGGUUCGUUCCGACUUGGUAUGGGCGGUUUGGCUUCUAUCUAGACAGGGGAGGCGCGCUUAGUCGGCUUGCGGUAGGCGGAGGGGAUGCUGCUACCGGCGACGGUCUGGCAGGGAAGAUGCAGACGGGUUGGUGGUCUCAUGGAUAUUGCAACCCACGACUUAAGCUUGGACCUAGUGGUUUUUGUGUCAAAGCUUGAGCCUUAGACCAAUGGACCAAAUUUUGUUGGGUUGCCUCUAUGUUUUUGCUUAGAGUCACUUAUAGUAUUUACGAGGCAGUGACCUGCGUGUUGCUGCGGGUUAGGUUAAGUGUGGAAGCAUGACAAAGCCGUAAUUAGGUUGUUCAAGAAGGGUAAAAUAGUCUUUUUCAUAACUCUAACUAAAAAUAACUGCAAAUUGAGUGGCAAAAUUGUAAAAAGCUAUGAGAGAAAAGAUAAAACGAUCUUUUACUAGGCUGUGGCAAAGCUGAGAUUUUCUAUAAAAAGAAGGGUAAAUAUGUAAUUUCAUGAGAAAGGGUUAAACGGUCUUUUAUUGGGUUGUGGCAAAGCUGAGAUUUUCCAUGACAGGAAGGGUAAAUAGUAUAAAUUUCAUCCUCUUUUGUAUUAUGAAUUUGCUUUUGACGUUAGUUUUAAUAUAUUCAAUAAGUUCUUAAUUAGGUAGGAAGUUAUGGGCUAUAUCCUGGUAGAUUUGGGUACUCAGCAUACCAUGUUUGUCCUAAUGAGGCGGUGAAUUCCUUCUUUCGUAAAAUUGUCGCAGUCUCUUGGUGGCAGGAUGAAAUUUAGGGUCAUUGGUAAUUUUCAGUGGGAACAUAAUUGGAAAGCUGAUAUACAUAGCAAUUUGGCUUUCCAUGAGCAUUAUUUUUUCGGUAUGUAGCAAAAAUUGUAAAGCAAAUGAGGUAGCUAAUGAUGCAUUCUUUGUUAAAUGAUGUUUGUUAGAAUGCAUAGAUUUUGUAGACAUGCCUAAUAUUAUAUUAGGAUGUUCUUACAUUAUAGGGUGUAGGCACAAUCGUCCCCCCCCCCCCCUUUUCCCCUUUUAUUAUAUAAUUUCGUUAAUGAUUAUAACGUGAAAGCUACCAUAGCCCUUGUAUUUAUAAAAAAAUUAAUAAUAAAAAAUAAAUAAAAAGUCUAUCUUCAAAAAGAAAAAAGGAAAAAGAAAAAAACCCUAUCUUACCAUCAGCUGCACGGCCUUUAGCUAUAUAAUUCAUGAAUUAAAAUUUGUUUAGUCUUUGUGGUUUGAAGUCGAUAUUUGUUCAGUCCUUAUGGUUUUAUUUUAAUCCAAAUCCAAGGUUCUAAAAAACGCUAGGCGCUAGUCAGGCAGACAACGCCCAAAAGAUUGAUCGGGAAUUAAUCGGGGAUUAAUCGGAUUUGUAUUUUUGUAUUUUUGUAUUUAUUUUAUUUUUUAAUAAUAGAUAAUUAUAUAAAUAAUUAUAUAAGGUAGUAUAAUAUCUGAAAAUAGUGAAAAUGCUCAAAAUUUUGAUCUAAUGUCAUUAGUUUUGAGUUCAGAUAUUUAGAUUUUAUAUGAUAAAUAAUUAAAAAUUUAUAGUUAUUGAUGAAAAAAAAUUUAGAAGUAAAAGAAUUUGUUGGGGUUGAUAGGCCCAUGACCAAAUGUAAAGCCCAAGUUUAGAUGAGGUCAUUUUUAUCUUUAGUCGUUUAACCUAAUAAUCAUAUACUAGAAAGAUACCCGUGCGUUGCUACGAGAUUUCUUGUCAACAAAAUUUGUAUUCUACAUAAUGGAAUAGGCAGAAAUUUAAGAAUAUGGUUACUGAAAAUAGUUCAUUCUAAGGAAUCAAAAGAAUAGCCACUAUCGUAUUAUGUUUAGUUGAAAUGAUGAAUUAAUAUGUUGUUUCACUCUAUACAUGUAUAGAAAAUAAUUGGAGUUUCAGAGUGAUACUACCUAGUUGAGUUUAACUAACCUAUAUACAUCUAUACAUGAUGGAAGCCUAAACGCAAAUCCAAUGACAUAUGCUCAUUCUUUACUUCUCUAUGCCCAUCAUAAAGUAUGUAUAUCCACAAUGCUAGUCUACCUUUUUACCUACACAUAUGUUGAUAGCCAGGUGAAUACUAAUACUAGAAGUUUAGCAACGUUGAUCACUAUACAAAAUGAAUGUAAAUCAUAUAUUACUGGAAGCCAAUACAUGUUUUGAGGAGACUAUGGCAUAUCCUCAUUCAAGCCAGUGCAUCACCAUUAACUCAAAUCAAAAGUAUAUUGUAUUGAGUAAGCUAUUCAGACCCAACAAAAAACAAAACAAAAAACACAAAGCAAUAAUCUCAUUUUACUAUAUAUUCUUAAUGUCUGUCACAGACCACACUAAAGAGUAAACCAUAUAUGUGGCAAGAAACAUUACUACUCUAGGACACAUGCCCUCUUGUUAUAUAUUUUAAUUUCUUGAUAUAUGUUGUAUCUAUUUUAGCAUUUUGACCAAAGCCAACUAAGUUUACAUAAGGAAGCAAAAGAAUUAAAUAAGGUCUAUUAAAGAAUUUAUAUCCAUACGUUCAAUUAUUUACUGUCUUGGUAUCUUUAAUUAUUUGUCAUCUCAAUACCCCAUCUCUAUAUUGUUGUAAAUGUAUUUCUCAUUCUAAUGUUACACCUUUAAGAUUUAAGAAUCUAUGAUAACUUAUAAUCCCCAUAGUCCCGGUCUAUCUAUGAAAUUAUGAUCUUUAUCAUAAAGUCCUUCAAGUUCUAGCAGAGCUUAAUCUUUUGCUUAUCGCAAAAUGCAAGAGACUUCAACUGAAAAUCAAUGAAAACCCUACAGAUCUAUAUAUAAAAGAAGGAAACAUAAGAAAAGACUAAUAAAAGUGCAUAUAUACCAAAGAAAGUCAAGCAACCACAAAAGCAACAAAAUUGAGACCAGUAGUUAGUAAGACUCCACAUUUUGUUUCAUUUUGAAUAAUCAAACUCCACAUAAAUCUCAAAACCGAUAAUUUCCUACAGUAAACAUACAUAAAGACUUUACCUCUGUUUUAUUUGCAAUAUUUAGAUCUUUAUGCAAGAGUUCUUAUGACCAUCUUUGGAUCGUUGUAAUUUUUCUCAAGAAUUUGAUGAGUUAAUUAGUAUUGUAUUAUUUUUCAGUUUUGUAUUUAUCUCUGCAAGAUAUCAAACAAAUUCAUAAACAUUUUCACUGGAGAUAAAAACUAUCAAAUGCCAUAUCCACAGCUUAUUGCUUCUAUUUUAACAAAAAAAAAAUCUAAUACUAUUCUAAUGGCUGAUCAAAAAACACUCAAGUCUGAUUUAUGCCUGAAUAUCGUCUAAAUUCAAAUUAUGGUGAGAUCUUCUUAUCAACUUGAGGACCUUAGGUAACUGCAAACGAAAAUUCCUGGUGAGAUCUUCUUAUCAUUAUAAAAGUGUAAAUUAUAACAGUCUCAAUUGUGUAAACAUACUUCUAACAAUUAAAAUAAAAAAUAAAAAAAAAAACACCCAACACCUAGUCCAACACUGUUCACGCGAACAGUGAUUAUGAACAGUGUACGAAAAAUAGUAUAUGUUAAAUUCAUCUCUCCCUUCAUCUCUUUCUCUACGCAUCCAUUCUUUCUGCCUCCUUUUUCAUUUUUUCAGACAUCAAGAACGCAUCAAAGAACAAUAUCAUCCCCAAUUCUCCAUACCCACGGUCCUCUUCUUCCUCUUCUCUCUUUGAUCCUCACUUUCUCUCUGUUCUCUUCUCUGUUUGAUUGGAUCAUUGGCAUAAAAACCCAGAUGCCAAAAUAGAUGAAGCCCAGACCUCUAAUCGCCUGAGUCUUUACAAAAAAAAAAGGUAAUCGGUGAUCCGCCCAGACCCCGCCUAGCCGCCGCCCAAGCGGCCAAACAACGGUCGGCCACCUACACUAGCCGAUUUGCCCAAAAUCGAGACGGCAACCCUUCUCCGGGAGCCUAGGCGGCCGCCUAGGCCGUUUUUUAGAACCUUGUUUUAAUCUGAAUGGUUCUUAAAGUCAUAAUUUUUCAUCCAAAUAAUUUUUCCGUCAAUUUUUUCUGUUAGAGUACUGAUGUGACCGUUAAAGACAUUGUAAUUUUUAAUGGCCAGGUCAGCAAUUUAACUGAGAAAAUUGACAGAAUGACCAUUUGGAUGAAAAAUCGUGACUUUAAGGACCAUUCAGAUUAAAAUAAAACCACAAGGACUGAACAAUGUCGACUUCAAACCAUAAGAACUAUAUAGUAUUUUACCCACAAUUCAAUUCAACAUUUUUAUCAAACAAUUGAGGAUAUAAAGUUUUUGUCAAACCCCCCUAAAGGUUUUGUCAAACCCUUAAUGAGGUGAAGACUGAACUUUCAGAUAUCCUAGAAGUGAAGUGUGUCGAUCAGCAUGACAGAUACCUGGGAUUGCCUAUGAGGGAUCCGGCUCCUCUAAAGUGAGCAAGCCAUAAAGUUAGUAAAUUUCAUAAAAUCUCUAACCUCUAUCUAAUCUAAUGGCUCAAAAAUAUCCACAUGCAUCAAUUCAUUACAAAAAAUGUUGAAAAUUCUUUUCUAUAUUGACAAUAACUCUAAAUGCUUUAUUUCUCUUUUUAUUUUUUAUUUUUUUUAUUUAACCUUCAUCUUANNNNNNNNNNNNNNNNNNNNCGAUUGUAUGAGCGAAUUGCCUGAUGAAGUUCUGUGUCACAUCCUCUCUUUUCUACCCGUGGCAGACGCUUUUUCUCUCAAGUUACUGUCUCGUAGAUGGAGCCGCCUCCAUGUUCCUCUCUCGAAUCUCUACUUCAAUCAAGAGACCAUCUUUGGAAGAAAAUACGACUCUAGUGAUGUAUUAUUAAAGCUCAAGUCUGAAUUUGUUGAAAAAGUUGGAUCCGGCUCCUCUAAAGUGAGCAAGCCAUAAAAUUAGUAAAUUUCAUAAAAUCUCUAACCUCUAUCUAAUCUAAUGGCUCAAAAAUAUCCACAUGCAUCAAUUCAUUACAAAAAAAUGUUGAAAAUUCUUUUCUAUAUUGACAAUAACUCUAAAUGCUUUAUUUCUCUUUUUAUUUUUUAUUUUUUUUAUUUAACCUUCAUCUUAAUUUAUUCUCUUCUGUAAACGUUUGCUUCAACUCCAUGGAUUUUUCAGCAAAGCAAAGUUGCAAUGAUUCAUGGUGCAUAUGAAUACAUCGGUGCUUAUAAGAUUAUUGCAAUAUUCAUAAAACAAUUGUGAUUACCUUAACCGAAUUAUAAACCAAAAAGCUUUGGAAAAAAUUGGGUAGAUCGAUCGCUGCCUACAGUUCAAUUAUAUACAGAAAAACCAACUAUAUUGGAAAACCCAUGGCCAUCAUCUCCAGAAAUCAAUAUAGAAUGCAAAUUACGAAGGCUAGAGUUUAGAGACUACGGGAAGAGAAACCAGUGAAACCACUUUGGAAUGAAUGAAACUAAGGCUUUUCAUUCUUUUCUAUUCAAAGCUGAUCAUCAAGUUUAUUUAUCAAUUCAUAAUUUCAGAUAUGAAGAUUCGCUUGAUCAAAUAUUGAUGAAGAUAUAUAUCACGAUAUGCAACCACUUUUUUAUUGUUUUUUUUUUCUGAGAAAAAACGAAUUUUAUAGAAAUAAGUGAACAAAUUUUCAAAUAAAUGAUUUUAUUUAACAUAGAUAUAUUUGAACCAUUAGAUUAGAUGUAGGUAAGAGAUUUUAUGAAAUUUACUAACUUCAUGGCUUGCUCACUUUAGAGGAGCCGGAUCCGCCUAUGAGAAUGGAACGAUCCAAAACAGCUAUUUCGCUUGUAUUCAACAGAAGAUGGAAAAGAAGCUUCUUGGAUGGAAAGCAAAAUCACUAAGCUAUGCAGGCAAAGAGGUACUCAUUAAAGUUGUUGCUCAAACAAUGCCUUUGUAUCCUAUGAAUUGUUAUUUGCUUCCUAAAGGCCUUUGUGAUGAUCUUCAUCAACUUUGUGCUUCCUUUUUCUGGGGAGAUUCUGUUUAAGAUACAUUGGUGUCGCUAGGAGCGUCUUUGUCUCACCAAGCAUGAAGGCGGAUUAGGGUUUAAGAACCUAUAUGCUUAUAAUUUGGCAAUGCUUGCCAAUCCAAACAAGGGUGGAGAUUACUCACAAAGCCUGACUCUCUUAUUGCACAAUUGUACAAGGCCAAGUAUUAUCCGAAUUGUUCCUUCUUCGAAGCAACUAUAUUGGGGAUGCACCUUCGUUUUCAUGCAGAAGCAUUCUUGCAGGCAGACCAGUCUUACAGGGAGGACUUCAAAGACAAGUUGGUUCUAAAACAAGCAUUCAUAUAUGGUCUGAGAAGUGGAUUCCACAUUGCCCUCAGUAUAUGGUACAGAUAGAAACCACCUCAGUGCACCUUGCAGCUAGUAAGUGAUAUUAUUGACAGUAACACAAGGACUUGGAAUUUAGUCCAAACAAUCUUUCUUCCUGAUGUAGCGGAGAAGAUCUGAUGCAUCCCUCUCAGUCAAAGACAAAGAGAUGAUCAGUUUUGUUGGAAUCUAGAUAAAAAUAAAUAAAAAGGUUUAUUCUCUAUUAAAUCAUCAUAUUGGCUUGCAAGAGAAAAUGUUAUGGGCAAUUCUCUAGCCUUGACUUCACAUGGAGACCCCUGCAAGGAACUUUGGAAAAGACGUUGGAAAGCUCGAGUUCCACAUAAAGUCCAAACACCAUCUGGAGAGCCUGCAAUGGUAUUCUACCUACUAAAGAUAGACUUUCAAGGGACUUACAGGUGAUUUUAACUGUCUCUUGAGGGAAGGAACCCCGAGGUAAAUAAAGUUUCGUAUAAGAGAACAAUUACCGAUUCUCUUAUCUGCUCCUGUCUCUGACUGACGAAGGAGUCCCACUACACGAAAAGAAAGAAGGUAGGAGCGGUGAAAUGGUUAUGCUCCCAUCGUUUUGAAACUACUAUGCAUACUUUGUGUCACUGCCCUCAUGCACAGAAAUUUCUUUCUGAGGCACCCUUCAACUUGGGACAGCAAUUGCAACAGCAUACUGUUUUUAAAUGGUGGAUGUUUGAUAUUGCACUCACCUUGCCUCAAGACACUUUUGAAACGCUGCUCACAGUUCUAGAUGCUUUAUGGAGGAACCGAAAUAACAUGAUGUGGAACAACAAAUCCCAGACUCCCACCGACAUUGUCCUUGGUUCACUUUCAUGGCUUCAUGAUCAAGUUCCAAGCUCUGCACCAGUCUGAUACUGCACAGUCGAUUCAAUUAAAGUGAAGCAGAGAUGGAAACCGGCUAAGGCAGGUUAUGUCAAGCUCAAUGUUGAUGGAAGUUAUCUACCUCAGAAAACUAUUGGAGGUACUGGAGGUGUUAUAAAGGAUGCUCAAGGUCAUUUCCUUGCAGCAUUUGCUAAAACGGUGCCAAACAUUGCUUCUGUUAAGCAUGUGGAACUCAGAGCUAUUAAAGAAGGCCUCCUUCUUGUACAAGAGUUAGCUUGGCAAAAUGUUCAGGUGGAAUCAGAUUGUGCUGAAGCAGUGGCUGCAGUCAAUACAGUUUGAUAUGAAGGAAUGACAGAAGCAGGCCUUACAGAUGAUAUCAAGGAGCUGAUGAUGAACAUGACUUCUGUCUCAGUCAAGCAUACUCCCAGAAUUUGCAAUUGUGUAGUGCUGUUACAUUUGAAUAUUUUAUUUUAUUUUGUAUUUAUUUGGGUGAAUUUAUUUAGGUGUUACUUUCAGUUUUUUUUAUUUUGAAAAAACUGUUUUGAUAUUUAUUUGUGUAACUCAUGGUGGUUACUUAGUUUUAUUUGUUUUUUUUUCUUGUAACCUAUGAUUAUUGGUUAUUACCCUAUUAAUCGCGGGAAGUGUCCUACUAGCCUAUAUAUACCACCAUUUGUUGCAUGAAGAGAUGAACCAUGUAUACUACAACAACAUAUUCAGCCAUCAACUUUCCAUCAAAAUGCCCCAAAAGAGUCUUGUGUUUUUAGUCGGCCAAAGAGUGUUCUUGUGGUGGAGCUUUGAGUUCCUCCAAUUUGUGCUGAUUGGUGUGAGUCAUACAACUUGUUGUUGAACUGUUAUAUCCUAGAGGGGACAAGUUAAGAGUCUAGUGCACCGAUGUUAUUCCACAAAAGGCUUGAAUCUCCUUAAAGAGAGCGAGAUACCUACGCCUUAGCCUAUUGUCAACAAGCUUCUAUUAUUUGAAAUUAUAAUUUUUAUUCUAAUUUCUUGUAAUUUCACUAACAUGUAGCUCACAGGUUAGCUGCAAUGGCGUAUGAGGACAAACACAGUGGAGUAUGGUUUCACAGACCUCCAAAUCCUAUCAUUGAUGUACUAAACUUCGAUUGUACUCAAGCUGCUUAAAGCUAUUGCUAUUAAUAAAACUAACUCUUAAUUAAAAUAAAAAAUAAAAAAUAAAAACCCUAAAUAAUAGUAAUAUGGUCACCCGGAUUUAUCUUUAUAAUGCAUGUAUCCAAGCACCAUCUCAUGAUCUCCAAAAUUUAUUCUAAGGCUAUUGAAGCUAUCAAAGUAUUCUUCUUUAAAACAUGUGAAUACUUACAAGAAGUCUAAGAAAGGAUGAAAUCAGGAUAACUCUCGAUCAAAAUAAGUAACAUGUGAAAACAUGUGAAUCUUCACUUUAAUUACUAAGGUGCAGAGAAGGAGUGAUAUUUAUAAUAAGUAAAGAAAUAUUAGAUAAUAAAUUGAAAAAUGAUAUGAUAAAAAACACAAUAGAAUCGUGAUACAGAUAAACAGGCAAGACGAACAUGAACGUUAAGAGAGAGAAUAUAGGACAAGUUAAAUAGACUAAACUCUGUUCGAGUAUAGGUAAGUCGAAAUGUUUUCAUUUCCUAGUUUCCUUCUCUUUUUCUUUAGAGAAAUCAAUAACUAAGGGAGUUGGCCAAGGAAGGCUAUAGCUCACCUGAUAUUUGGCACUUUGAACUCGACUCUUAUAAUCCUGUGGCUAUCAAUUCAUCAAAACAAAAAAACAAAAAUUGCCAACAUAUCAACUUGAGUCAUAUUACAUACCUUUUGUACACCCACCCUCUCUUUGCCUGCCACUACGUUAGAUAAUUACUAAAUAAGUUCAAGGUUUCCAGCCACUCCCUUUUAAUUAUUUGUUAGAAAGAAAGAAAAAACAAAGGAACUCAUAAACAACCAGGACUGAAUUUAUUUAAAUGAAAAUGUGUACUAGAAACUUCGAAAGGGCAAUUCUUUGCAUUUGGCUCUAAUUUAUUUUUAAAAAUUAGAUUAGAAAUAAAUAGUACAAGCUUCUUAAUGUAAAGAAUGAAUCUACGAUUCUUCGACUUUUAGUUAUGCUCAAAAACAAAUUCAUUCCAUUGCAACAAUGUUUGUUUUUAUAAACAAAGUCUGCUACUUGAUUGCGGUAUGACCAUGUUGAUCAAAUUCAUCUUCUAAGUAAGCUGUAGAAACUGAUAUGUAGCCAUAAAUUAUAAUUUUUGGUUGAUUCAUUUGAAUAGACUUAAAACUAGGGACAAAUUAUCUUGUUUCCAUAUUAUCUCUAAAGAUCGUAACAAUAACACUUUGCGCUCUUUGCACAUAUCUCAAUGAGAUAGCAAACGAUCUUUUUGGUUAUCGAUCGAGAUCAAAUGAAGGAAAUUUUGAGAUUGUCUAAUGUUGUCUUCAAUUGAUUUGGAAAAGAGUUACCUUACUUCCUUGUAAGGAACUUUUUCAUUCUUAGCUUCAUGAUAAUGAUUUAUUUGCAUAGAUAAUCACUGAUGGGAAGAUCAUUGAAUGAUACGAUCUUUAGGGGAACAUAGAGCUAAACCUUUAGUAAGUACCAAUGUUAGCAGCUGUCUAUAAAAUGGACUAAUCUUGACAUGAGUUCUAGUUGUGCACAAUCUCAAACAUUUUGUUCCAUUGUUAAACAUCGGGUGCCAUUAUUAAGAGGCUUGCCUCUAGCUAUUGUGUUAAGGUUAACUUUGAUGGUUCUCUUAGUGGAAAUGCAAGGUCAAGUGGAUUUAUUCUGGGUUGCAAAUGGAAGACCAAUUUCUGCUACAGUCGACCAUGUACGGUCUUAUUGAUACAAAGGCAAAAGGAUUCACAAAACUUCAAGUAAAAGAGAGUCCCAAGUUAGUAAGUGACGCAGUGAAUGGUUGUAUUGAUCCACUUUGGCAGGUAAUUAAUCAAUCUCAUGGAAGACAUUCAAAAGUUUGCUAUAUUGAUUUUGAUCUUAUUACUUCUAAUCAUAUUUUCUGUGAAGCUAACUUUUUAGCUGAUGUUAUUUCUGUAUUACUUCUAUUUUGUGUUGGAAAGAUAGAGUUCUAAGUAAGCCUUCUAGAGCUUUUAAUUUUUGACAUUGUAAAGCUUUAGUUUAUAAAUACUCUUUCCUUUAUAUGAAACUUCAAGAAACGAUGUCCGGUAAGAUGAUAUAUUUAGAUUUGAUAAAAAUAAUGAGCCAAGUGAUGAAUAACUCGGAGCCACUCCUUUUAUUUCGAAAAGAAAAGAAGACCACAAGGGAGAUGGUACUGUCCAUACAGUUGGUUCGGUCAACUUCGUUUGGCAGCUCAGGCUAGUUGUAAAAUCACAUCUUCCAAAGAUCCAAUAAACUCUUAUUCAACGAUUAAGCUCCCCUUGGUUUGCUAGUUGGCAACUCAAACAAGUACUACAUGGACCAUUUUUGUAUUCACACUUUUCAAACACACUUGAAACUAGAACUUCACUCUCAAUGACUAGCAAAUCGAUUGUAAAUUUGUGCAUGAAACAAAAUACCAACAACUCUUUUGUCAAAGUCUUGCAAAAGGGGGGCAAUGUAGAUUGCUAGUUUGUCCACGGAAAAGCUUAUACUCGUAUAAUUUGUGAUGGAUUCUAAAUUAAGCAGUAAAAGUGAGCAUUGAGGAUAAAAUUUUAGUAAAAAUAUAAAAGAAAAUUACGCAGUCAUUCUUGUUUUUUAGACCAGAAAUACAACAUCAUGAUGAUCGCACAUUUUGAAAAGCUGGUGAAGUUGUCAAUGAACAGUUCUAUUUUUUGGUGGGUGGUUGAACUGAUACAUUUCAUUGAAUAGUUUCAACGUCAGCAAAAUAAAUAUAAACGGUCGGCUUUUACUUCAAAACGUUAGCAAAAUAUAUAAGCUGACAACAAAAUAUAAAACAACAAGAAUGCAUCUAUAAUCAAUAAUUGGUUUUUGAAACGUCUUUUAUAUAUAUAUAUAUAUAUAUUUAAAUUAAACUCUCGAUUUAGCGCCAAACCUCUCACCGCUUGACAUAACCCCGAUUGCUUGAUUGCUUUUUCCCUUCGAUGAUUUAUUUUUGCAAUUGAUUUAAAUGGUAAUUCUAGAUUUAUGAAAUUAAAAAUAUAACUUGACAUGAAACUGUUUCUUAUAUAUAUAUAUAUAUAAAGGAAAUUACUAUUACGUGAGUUAAACUCAUAACUUCCCACGUACUAAAUUGGAGACUAUAUCACUAGACCAAAUGAUACUGAAUAUAUGAAACUGUAUUUAGCUAUUGGAAAAAGAAACUUCAUCGGAAAAAUUGAAAAAAGAAACUUCAUCGAAAAAAUUGAAAAAAGAAAAUAUCAGCACAGUACAAACUACAAAGUUCGAUGUAUUCACAGCCCAUAUUUGGAAAAGAAGAAAACAAAAAACAGAAUUUACAACCACAAGAAGACCAUGGCGGGUACCAGAGAAAAAACCAACAAAGAAAAGCUGCGAAAAACCAGAAACUUUUCUGUGGUAAUCAGUACUCAAUAUGAACACGCCAUCCUCUGCACCCGGUCUCUAAGAAUUCCACUGUACAAGGCAGCUUGAUUCUCAGGAAUUUGGUUUCUGCAACUUCUUUCAACUCUUUUAGACGACGACUCCGUAACUCUCUCCACCAUCUUUUCCUCCUCAACAUUCUCAGCAAAACGCACUUUCUUUUUCUUUCUAUCCCUCUUCUUAUCACCUGAAACAGAACCAAACCAAGAAGUUAAAAAACCAUAAACACGAUAUCUUUGAUUGAAGUUUUCAAGAACGAGAACAAGAAACAGAGCAAACCACAAGUCUACGUACCUGAAGACAAGCAAGACCGCAGAGUAGGACUUUGCUUUGUUGUGUUCUGGGGUUCUGGGAGAGUUUGUUUUCUGGAGAAAGCAAGAAAGACGAGGGUGCUGGAGAUGGCCAUGGCGGUUGCCAAGACCAGACCUUGAGAGCUUAGCACAGAAGACAUGGCUGGGACAAAACUAUAAGGACGGUUGAACAGAGAAGAGACUGGAGGCUUGGAGAGAGAGAGGAAGAGAGAGGGAGAGAGAGGUCAGAGGCUUUUAUAUCUGUAGAAACUAGUUUUUCUUUUUUUUUAGGAACAAAGUAGAAACACAGUAGUUGUGCCUAGUGCGUAGGAGAAGGUUGGUUUAUAUAGGGACUCUGUUUCCUAGCACAUACACGAACUUAGGUGGAAAUUUAUUAAUGAAAAAACAAAUGGGAAAAUAUUAAAUUUGGGAUUGAGGGGUUGAUUAAUAAAACCGAACAGGUUUCUGUUUCGGAUUUUAAUUUAAUGACAGUUAAACACAAACUGAGUACCAACUAAUUUGUCAAGGCACAACUCCGGCUAUAUGAGCCUGUAUUUACAAGAGCAGUUUAGUUGUAAAUUGAAAAAUAUUUGAGAGCAUCUGGAUUCCUCUUGUGAUUUGGAAAGAACAAAUAGGUGUUGUGAUUGGUAUUUGGUUUGGCUAAUUGGCUUUAGUGGGUUAGUUCAUGGUGUUUUCAAUAGAAAGUUGGAGAAAGGCCCAAAGAGUCUUUGGGAUGAGCUAUGCAGUCAACUUUUGUUGGACUUCUGGAGGAAGGGAAUGGUCGUAUUUGUAGGCAUGGAUAAGGUGUGGCAAGGACUACAAAAACCGAUGAAAUGUUGUUGGUCAGGUCAUACUUGGGGAACUGCUGUAUUUGGUUGGUUCUGUGCAUAUUGCAAGAUUCUAAAAUCUGAACCCUUCCCACCCAAACGAUUCAGUAGGUAUGCCAACGUUGGUUUCAACCAUUUUACAGCACCAGCAGUCCAGCACCAUGUAAUAUUGUUGGCCAUCUUGUUCUUGGUGUAUUAGAUAAUUUGAUGCUCUAUUUUGUGUUGUAUUAGGUAUAAGAAUAGGUUUGCUAGGUUGAGGAUCGUUGAUUUGGCUCCCGAGUUAGAAGAACGCCUCGUAACUGUAGUAACGAAACCUUGUUACUUCAACUUCUUUGUGAAUUUUGGUUUCAUUAUGAUCAAGAAAAGAAAAGAAAAAAGAAAGAACAAAACAGCAUCCACCUCUUGUAAUUUGUGCUCUUACGUGUCGAAAAGAUGUUACUGGGUAAAUAAGAGGAACUAACAAAGAAACGAAUGAGAGACUUGAGGACAUGAGCACAACACAAAACAGAGAGAAGAAGAAGAAAACAAAUAAGAGGAAAUACACUAAAGCAAGCAUGGCACAAAAGUGAGUAGCUAAUAUCACAUCAUACAUCACUACUAAACCUGCUAUGAACAUCCUGCUAUAGAUAACGUCUCUGCAGGUUGUAACACACAUAGAUUUAUUAAUCUACUAUUGCGAAACAAUAAAAAGAAAAGGCAAUGUAGCAUGUUCUUACUUUGACAAACCCAAACUGAGAAGGGGGAAAGAAAAGAAAAGAACACUCUUCAAGUAGUAAGGAUGGGAGGAAGGUAGUCGGAUCUGGCACCUAGCACUCGAGCCUUGGUGUCAGGGAAGAAUUCGAAUCCUGGCAACUCUGUGACUUCUCCUUCACUGGUAACUCCAACAGGAUAGCGAAGCAGGUGACCCGGCAAAUCAUGUUCCAGUGUUUCACUUGAAUAGAGGUCCCAGUAUUUGUCAGCAAUCUGGUUGACCUUUUUGAUACAUUCAACGCUUUCUGGCUGGAGGAAGGUCUCAUCCAGCAUGCCAAGGUGCUCGUACCACAAUGCCAUACGGAAACCAUGGAUCUGGCCACGUGCUGGCUCCCUGACUGAUAGAUGAUGUGGUUGGUAGGCUCCCAUGGCUAUUUCAGAGUCCCUGGCACCAUCCAUUGAUCUCUGAUUGAUGUUGGCAGAUCCAAUGAUGAUGUAUUCAUCAUCGACUGCAAAUAAAAAAAGAAAACGAUUAUGUGGUUGGAUUAAUCAUGACAGCACUAGAAUCAGCACUAAUCUGGUAUCAGGUGUGUAGAAAUAUGGGAACGUUUAAGCCAUUCAAGGAAAAAAAAAAGCUUACAAUGGUACUACAUACCUAUCAUCAUUUUGGUGUGAACAUAAAUCAUGAAGCGCCGGGCUUCCUGAGCUCUAAUAUAAUCUGAAUCUGCCUCAGGUGCCUCAGAGGGUUCAUAUUCUCCGUCCUUCUUCACCUCCCGAUUUCCAAGGCAGAAAAAUGUCAAAUAGUUCCUUGGAUCCUCCUCAACACCAUGUUUAUCAAGUGCCUCCUUAAUAUCUUUGUACAUCAUUUCCAUUGUCCUCCUCUGCCAAUCUAAUAUGGCCUGGACUGAUGCGGACUCUGGGAUUCCCUCUGGCCACAUUGGUACAACGACAUAGACAGUAAACCUCUCCCCAUUCUCUAUCUUGUCAGCAAUCUUAAGCGAAAGCUCCCUAGGAAUUACAUGCGAAGCACCAAUGUCUUCAGGUUUUAUACCAUCAGCUGCCCAGGCAAAAGAGCUACCAAGAAAAUAUUGAUUUUCAAUAUAUAUGAAGUUCUUUGCCCGGCGAAUAGCAUGGAUAUAAGCAUCCUGAAUGCUUCGAUCAAUGAUGUUAUCCUUCCCACUAACAAGCCCAGCUCUGGCUGCAUCUUCAGGCGUAUCCGGGAAGCCAAAAGCAGCUCCUCCAUCAAUUGAUCUGAAUAACUGUACAUUCCAUGUCUCAUGGUCAUCUGGGAACAUAACAGGAGAUGGUGGAAUAAUGACAUUCUCAAGCUCUCUGAGCUGAACAAGUACAUCUUUACCACCUUGCUUUCUCCAUCUCUGCUCAAAGUUAAACAACACAUCCCAAGCAAUAGGCCCUUCCAGCCGAGAGUGAAUAUCAUGCCAAGGUUCUCUUGGCCCACCUUUGGUAAUCGAUGCACCAGUAAAAUUUGGCUGAUGGAAAUCAUCAUGAUGUGCAGUAUCCAAUGUCCUGAAAAGUGAAUGGAAUGGGGUAUCGUAUCUUCCAUCACACAGAUCAAGACCCCCAACAAAACUCACAAUUCUUCUACUCUGUGAUCCUCCAUUUGGCAUUUCACUAUCGACAACCACAAUCUUCUGAUGAUGAGUGAACAUGGUAGAGAUUUGUGCCCCCUGAACAAUGCUUCCACCACCAUCGGGAUUACGAGGGCAUAAGACACAGUUGACGUCAGUGUUCUGGAAAAACUGUGCAGUUUCCUCAUCAUGGGUGGCCAUCAGUCCAUCUUUUUUUAAUAAACCAACCGAGGUCCUAUCAUCCCAAACAAGCAUAAGAACACGGACACCUUCACUUGCUUUCUUUUUAAGUAACUCACCAAUAGUGAUAUCUCCACCUGAUUUUGGCCUCCUUGAGUCCCUUAUUAAUGAAAUUUCAGUAUAAACUGACCACCCAGUAAUGUAGAUCAGGUGUUUUGCAUUAGUGAUUGCAUCAAAGAUAUCUUCCCAACAUCUGUGCGGCUCAUAAUACUUCCCUCCAGCAAGAGGAAUUUUAGGAAUAAAUUUAUCCGGGACAUGAGCAUCUUGGAACAGUGAAACCCUACAUCCUUGUCUCUGAGAGAAAAAUGUAAAUGGAACUCCAGGAAAUUUAGGACUCUUAAUACCUUGACCCCAACUGCGGUCCUUUGAAACAUGAAAAAAUUGUAGUUUCACAUGUAUCUUGGGCUCCCCAUGAACAGGUUUUUUUUUGUCAUCCAAAAUUUCAGCCCAUGUAUCCACUUCUUCCCCUUCAAUAAGUUGUUCAACAGGUACAUACGCUCUUCCAAUUAAUGAUGCUCCAAUAGGAUUAGACUCCUUGACUGUGAAUAUAACAUUUGCAGCAACAUGGGCACAAUAAAUGUGGAAAGACUCAAACCACUUGGGAUUAGAGGGUUCUUUUUCUAUAACUCUGGUCCGACCAACCCUAGCUCUUUCCAGAUCAACGGUUGCAUAGAGUUUGCUAACUCCUUUGCCGAGACCAACAGUCUCUUCAAGUUUUCCAGUAAUCUGCAAAGUAAAUUUCAUCAGUACAAGGCACAAUUAUGAAAGUACGAAAGCAAUAGCCUAUGCUGAUUCUGAAGUUACUAAUCGAUAAAGAAAUUGUGAAAAUGGACCCCUACAAGCAACCUUUAAUUCUUUAAACUGUACUUAAGUUUACCGACCAGAAAAGUGGGGGAAUGAAAUGGAGGACAAUUAUGAUGAUAGCCUAGUGUUUCCUUGUCAGUUAGAUUUGUGAACAUGCUUUUUAAAGGAAAACAAGCUCCAAUCAGAACAUAUCUGUUAGAGAACAGAAAAUAAAGGCAACUGAAUGGAUACAGGUUUUCAACAACCACCAUAUACACGGCACAUACAUGAGAGACGCUAUACACUUCCCAGGAAAAACACAAGAACCUCCUCUUGAAACAGUUAUUUAAGCAAAAGACAUUACAAUCUUUGUAUGCAUACUAGUAAUCAGCACUGUCAUAUGCAGUGCAGGGCGUAAAUGGGACAAACAACCAUUACUAGAAAACAGGGAUAGCUGAAAAACAGAAGAUCCAUCUCCACUAUAUGAAGCAAUCUCCUGUGCAUGGUGAAACAUCUCUUUUCCAUGUUCUUAUGCAUGAGAGAAAAGAAAGCAUUUAGUAUAUAUCAAACAUCAAACUCCACAGUUAUGUUCCAAGCUAUAAUGUGAGAAAAUAGAUGUACAGAAUCUAACUAAAUAAGUAACUAAAAUCCCAGUUAAUAAUUUUGCAUGCCAAUGGGGAAUAAGCAGAAGCAUCUGGAACAAGAAAAGGCUCUCAGCCUAAUUCUGCAGCUGAACUUGAAAUAUCGAAAGCCAUAUACUGACAUUGUUUAAGGCUUCGCGCUCGAAUAACAUGAUCCCAAUUACUAUCAAACACUCCGUAAAACAUAAAAUUUCCAUGUCUGUGAGUUAGAUCUCCUUACACAUUAUUAUGCAGAAGAGAAGAGAGCUUUCAGUUAAUCAAAUACCCAAGUACCCACUCCAAAGAGUUUAGUCUAAAUCAAACUUCCAAAUUGCUUGGUUUGAAUCAAACAAGGCUUUCAGUCAAGCAUUGUUUUCCAAAACAUAAAACCUCGUGCUUUUCCUUACUCAUCAUGGACAUAACACAUAAGACUGAAAGAUCUAAACCUUCAUCUUCAGUGCAUAAAUAAACUCCAUCCUCCAUUUUGUAUAAUAAAAAAUACUAUGAUCUCAACAAGUUCAUAGAUCGACCUGGGCUACAAAUUGAUAUCUAUAUCCAAACGGUCCGAUUCCACUUUCUUUUCCGUUUUCCAAUAUUAGGAUCACAUUUCACAUUUUGGAAAACAAGCAGAUCAGUAAACCAGUCCUACAAGUUGCAAAGACUAUCACAAACACACACAAAACACAAUCAGAUAGUAACAGAACAAAUACACGGAAGCAAGAUCACAGAUCACCAUUAUCAGAGCUACGAUCCAUAUGCAUAAACAAAGAUACCAAAUCAUAAAAGUAUAUACCUUCCGGAGGAAAUUCCCACUACUACCGUGUAGCUUAUCAACCUCAUAGAUCGUAGCAUGAAGAGUCCCAUGAAGCCAAUGCUCAGCCGCGUCACCCAUUUCUCACCUGCAAACAAUAAUGAUCAGCCAAAGAAAACCAAAAGCCACUUCUCCUCAAAUCCCAGAAUCACAAACAACCCAACAAGAUCAAAACUUUAACACGAAACCGAUCCGAUCACACAGAAAAGAAAAAAAAAAAAAAAAGUAACCCAAGAACAGGAAUUUCAUUUAGUUGUGAAUAUAUAAGUGAGUGUUAGAAGUUUUGAUCAUGAUGAACAGUGAUUGAGAAUACAAUUAUCAUAGUUGGGUUGAGUUGAGGGACUCACGUUUGGGAUGUGAGAGAGAGAAGGAGAUCAGAGAGAGUGGAAGCAGAGCAGGAACAGAGGAGUAUGUGAGGAUCUGAUCCGGUAUUGGCUCUGUGGACUUUAUAUAUAGUAAAUGGCGCUCACUCUUACACCCUCAUAAUGUAAAAAGUAGCCAGAUCCGUAUAACAAGCUAUGAAACGAAGACGAGAGCUCAAUAUGAAUGGCUCAGUGCCUCAGUGUCUGUAAUUUGCUUCUAGUCCCUCUUCUUCUCUAUAUUUUCACCUUUCUCUUUUGGUAAUGUUUUGCAAUGAAUUGGAAUAUUAAUAUCAUUCAUUAGAGAUUUAGACUGGAAAUGGAAUUCUGAAACCCAAAAAAGAAAUUACAGCAACAUUAUCUUUGUGAUUGCCUUUGAUUUGUACAUUAUAUCUGGUGUGGGUACUAUAUCUACUGUGGUUAACGUAGGACAUAUCAUUUUGAUUAGGUCACCCUGAUUUGGCCAAAAAAAAAAAUGCAAAGAAUUGUUUUGGGUGUUCACAUAGAAUUUUCAGACUUCAUUCCCCCAUCUCCUGUAUAGGGAUUGAGAACAUAUAUAUUUAAUUUUUCUAUUAUAGAAUCAUUGUGAAAAGUAUUAUAUUAAGAAGUGAUUCUAGUUUUUCAUUAUUAUUUUUAUUGAGAGCAAGAUAGCGAGAUAGCAAAACAACUCGGUUAUAUUAACAAAUUAAUAAUAUAAUCAUUCAAUCAGUAUUCAGACCAAAAAACACGAAAAUAUCUCAACAAAGCCAAACUAAUAUCAUGUUGCAGACGCACAAAUCAGAAGACCCCUCAAACCUGCUAAUCAUAGGAGUUGGGACUCAAACUCAUAACUUUGGACAUGAAAGUUCCAUACUAAGCAAUAAAUAUAGGUUCGGUCUCAACAAUUCGGAUUUUAGGCACUAACUGAUAACUAAACCUGAAGUUUCGUUUCCUAUUCUCCCAUUUCUUAAAACCGAAACCGAUAAUUUGUCUCUUUCCUAUUUCUCAAACCCGCAUCGAAACCGAGUCUUUUUUUCAUGUUUGUCCACAUCUUAGUACAUAUUACAUAUGAAUUCUUCAUUCUUUCUUCUUCUACUUCUCAAGGCACUGAAGUCAAAUUAUAGCAAGUCUCGAAAUGAAUGAGAAGAAAAAGGAAAGUAUCGGCGCUGGCACAACACGUGUAACCCGUCCCUGUUACUAGUGGAGCUUGCCGACACCGGAAAACGACUCGUCGUAAUGAAAUAGGCCGAAAAGGGUCCCGUUGUAGGCCCGUUUUAAUUACAUGACGAGUGUGGAUAAGGAUGGCCUACCUCGAAAGCCUUGCCUUCCAGAUUUCCACUGCCACGUUCCAAUUUUCAAUUUCCCUCCCUUCAUUAUAACUCGAGUUGACCAUUGACAAUUGAGCACACGGCUUACGCGCAUAGAGUAGCUUAUUAAUGUGCACUAAUCACAUUUCCAAACUUGAUUAAAACAGAAAUAUAUUUGGUCAUUUUAGCUCGGCUCUACAACCAAACUAAUUUUGUAGCUAAGCAUGGUCACACUUUGAUGUGACAAUUGGCAUUUAUCUAUCUGAUUAGUGUUCGACAUAAUAACAAGUGGCGAGAUCCUACAAUUGUGUUUAGGAGUAAGGCAAAAGAUGGAAUACGCCUCAGUCCCCAUACGCCAAAGUUGAUCCAGUCAGGUGGCUUCACCACGUUUACACAUUCUGAAAGAAAAAGGCAAGACAGUAAAUAUGCACACAACGAUCGUCGUCGGCUGUAAAAAGAAGUUUCUGUCGAGGAUAUAUCGCAAAUCUCACAGGCUUACUGUAAGUCCUCUUCUCUAAAAGAAAACUUGUUGUUCUUUCCAUCAGCAAAAGUUUACCAGAGGAUUUGAGUUUGAUGAGAUAUCCCAUCACCAAAGCAAUAUAUAGUGAGAUUCAGGAUUAUUGGUUGAAGUUUGGGAUUUAAGAUUAUCUGUUUCUUCAAUGAUUUAGGUGGAUAUAUAGAUCAUUGAUGGGAGUGGUAUCAUUGCUGAGACUGAUUCACUGAUUACUAGCUAUUGCUCUGAUCGGAGCUAGACUUCACCGUUCCUUUUGGUAUGCCCCUUCAAAAGUUGUACCUGCUGGCCCGCUAUGUCGCCGUACCUCAUCCAACCUUGACAGAGGUACUCAACAAGGAGCGCCGCCGCACAUAGACGCCUUCUAACCUUUUUGCCAUGCUCCUCCUCUUAUUUCCUCCAGAAUUCCUCCUCGGAGGGGAGCUAUUCUCUUUAGUUGGCGGCGAUGGCUUUUAGAGCUCUUCGCCGAGCUUGACGAUUUUUCCCGGAUUGGUGAGGAGGAUUUGAGGAUUUUGACCGAGCAUCCUGGACCGGGGAGGUGGAGGCUGUGGUGCCGUUGGGAUGGGUGGGCUUGUGCCGCAGCUUGCGGCGGUCGGUUCAGGGGAGGGUUAGAGUUGCAUUGGUGAGAGAGUGAGACAACACAGAAAAAAGAGAGAGAAUGGGGUUUUGGGGUUAGUUUUUUCUUUUACUGUUAGUUAAUAACUUUACUCAUAUCUUUCAUAUUCAAAUUUUGUGGGCGACAUAGUGUCAUGUGGCAGGACUCAUUUUGGCGUACACUACGUUAACGUAGUCCAGCGCUUUCCUAGGAGUAAUACUAUAUACAACAAGAAGCUAAUUUAAAAUGGGAUAAACCUCAUACAAGAAGAAAUUGACCAUGUCACAUGAGAAAGGCAUGCUUUGAACUGUUGGAGACGUGAAAUGACAAAAAUUGAUCUCGUUUAUUAAAAACACAAGAAAAGUAUAUACUCAAUUUUAAAGAUGCUAGAUAUGCAUAAUUUGGUAUAACUUAAUUAUUUGUAAUCAGUUUUAAUUAAAAUAGCUAAAAAGUUAACUAGCUAACUAAACAUAUGUUUCCUUCAAAAAAAAAUCUUGACAAUUUUUUAACAGAUUCGCUAGGUGAUUCGUUAGGUACUUUAGGACACUGCUUCAUUGUUAUUUCUUGUUCGUCUUUUUAGUUUUUUAUUUUUGAAACUAAAGUUCGUCUUUUUAGUUUCCUCCUUGUGUCCAUCCGAGAAAUUUUUAGAUACUACAAGAAGAUCACGUGACAGUAUAAUGUGGUCUUACAUUCCAAUCAAAUAUUGACACGUGAAUUUAUUACAACUAAAUUUCUUUUGUGAAAUGACCUUCAUGGGUCUUUGUUGAGUUUGAACUAGGGUUUAGGGUUUAGGGUUUAGGGGUUAGGGUUUUGGGUCUAAGGUUUAGGGUUUAGGGUUUAGGUCUAGGGUCUAGGGUUUAAAAAACAACAAUAAACCAAAAAUUGUUUUUGACAAAAUACCUUAAGUAAUUUUUUCUUAAUAAAAACCAUGUGUCAAUAUUUGAUUGAAAUGUAGGACCAGGUCAUACUGUUACAGAGUCCUCUCGUGGCGCUGAAAAAUUUCUCGUAUCCAUCCCCCCUUUUAGUUUAACAAUGUGGGAGAGAAUGUCAUAAGGGGCCGGUUUCUUUGUAAUGAUUUUAAUCAAAAAAUUCAAAAACAAAAAAAAAAAAUAAUAUAUAUAUAUAUAUAUACACACACACUUACAUUAGUUAUCUCUUUAACUUGCUUUGAAUCUAAAAAUAAAAAUGAUUUAAGAGCAUAUUAGAAAAUAGGAAACAACUUAAAUCAACAAAAAUGUUUUUCAUUUUUUUGACUCAACAACAUCAUGCAAUACUUAAAUGGCUACGGGCGGUGGCCCAAAAACAACAUUCAUAUCUUGUUAAAGCCCAAUCGAAAUGUCCAGUGGUCCAAAGCACUCGAGCAGCAAACUCUAGCUACACCACAAAAGCCUAAUUUUUUUUUUUUGGCGAAACCACAAAAGCCUAAUUGAACAACCCACCAAAUGAAAUAAAAGAAAACAAACAAAUUAAAUGUAGAGUUUCUAAAAGAGACAACGUGUGUAUAUUCAUUUGGUGGAAAACUUCCGAAAGCUAAUAUUACAGGUAUUCCUAACCACAUCUAUCUUGCUUUGAAUGUCCACCUAAACUCAGGGAUACAAAUUUGCUCCUCACCCAUACUUUUUCACCCUCAUCCCCACCCACCUAAUUGAACGUCACAUGUCCUAUCUUUUAAUCACAUUAACCAUAGGAAAUCAUCAUUAGCUCCCCAUAACACCUUCUCCGACUGAGCCACUUAUUCACAGACAUGAGGCCUUUGUUGUUUCGUCGGACGACGAUGCCGUCAAGGAAUGUUGCCUGUUAAGGAAGACUCCAUGUUUGCGUUUUCCUUGGCUCAUGGUUUUUUUUUAAAGUUUUUUUUUUUUUUUUUAGUAGAGCGCAGCUCCUUUGAAAAUACUAAAAUGGCAUAACUCAAAAUAGGAUUGAAACAAAAUGUUCGAUCUUUGUAGUUUGGCAGUAAAAGGCACAAUAACAUAAUGAUUUUGUUAACAACAGUGUAAACCUCUCAUGAGGAAACUUCACAGCGAGACUUUUGAAAUAAUCCACACUAAAAUCAAAUCCACUAUUAUUCAAAUAGAAUUAUAGCCAAAUCAAGUAGUGAUGUUCAACAUUAUCACUUUUAUAAGUAUUCCAAACAAACUUGAUAUUACAACUAAUGCAGCUAUUCUAAAUAAUUUAGAUUCUGAGAAGGAACUGGACACGCCUUCUAAUUUGCUCUUCAAAUCCACUAAUCUCAAAUCACACAAAUGAUAGCAGAUGUAAUGAGUAUGAGCAUGGAUAUAUCAAUGAGAUUAAUGAAAAAGUUUUGCAGACUAAGCGCAGCAAUUAAAACAAUCAGGUUUUGACGCACAAAAACUCAGCGCAAUGAAAAAUGAUUUCGAUGCAUAUAUAUAGAGAGAGAAAACUCCCCCCACAAUUCAAAUCAGUUAGAAAAGAUAGAUUUUUCCAAAUCGUUUUUCAUAUCAGAUAUUAUUACCUUCCCUAAAUAGUCUCAAAGAUAUUUAGUGAAUCAAAUAAGAACGAAAACUAGCUAAUCUUUUCAGUUGACCAUGAUAUGCUUGAGAUGCAAUUUAACUUUUGUGAUUUGAGAUCAAAUUCACUGCAGUAAAACUGCAAGUCUCCCUGGACUUUGCUUCUCCUAGUUUGACCAGGAAACUCUUGUGAUUGAAAUUCCGCAGACUUCUUUUCUUCUUUUAGGUUGAAUAUGAGUGCCAUGUAGCCCUUGGAAGUUUUUUGACAUUAAGGAAGUUUCUAAAAACAUACAAAUCUUCUCCUAAUACCUUAUAAACACUUGCAACUAUAAAAGUUCAAGAUUUAUAGGAAUAGAGGCUGCUAACAAACCCACGCUCUCAUUGUCAUUGUUAGUAUGAGUCUCUAAGACGUGACCAAAAUCUUGGCACGAGAGAUUUGGUACAAUCUGUUGAGUACCAUAAACAAACCAUGGAUUAAAUAAGUUUUGGUUUUGUUUUGAACCAAAAUUAAGUUGAAUUUGUUAACAAAACCAAUCCAUGCUUGAUCACUAAUGGUUUGUGGCUUAAAUUAAUAAGACCAUCAAUUAUCUUUUUGGUAAGCCCAUAUAAUCAACAUGAUCUUAUUUGGUUAGGGUUUUGUUUAUGCGUUAUAAAUAUAUGUUUUAUGUCACAAAUUAAGGUGUGAGAGACAAAAGAGCCGCAACUUAGGGUUAUUGAGAAGUAUCCGCAAUUUAAGGUUUUAUAGAAGUUGUUAUUUUAUUUAGUGUUUUUCCUCUCUCAAUGUAUUUUGGGUGUGAUAAGGAUUUUGGCUUUGAGUGUUAAUAAAUACCUUGCAAUCUCCUUAUGAUAUUAAUGGAAUCUCCUCGUUAUCUCCGCUGUAGAUGUAGCCCCUUUGAUUUGGACAUACAAGUGAAUUUUGAAUUAAAAAUAAUAAUAUUUACUCCAUUGAGCCCUAUAGUUACCCUACUAAACCUAAACAAACACUUCCUUCUGCUUGCCAAAAAAAGAAAUGUCAAACCCUUCAGCAUAAUAAAAUGGAUUAUUUACAGAAUGUAAAGACAAAGAUACAUUUAUGAAAGAUUGAACAAGAUCCAGCUGGCUACUAGUUUGGCUGUCCCGGCCCUAACUGAACUGAAGCUGCAUGAUGUUGUAAAAGAUAGAAAUGUGAAAGCCUAGGUACCUAAUGGGUCUCCAAGCACAUGGCCUCUGAUACUCCAAAAACCAUGAAAUCUCAUUGAAAUGCUGAAAGCUCCAUAAUCAUGGAUCCUCUAAGAGUCCCAACAUUGAAAGCUUCACUUACUUCAAGUUAGUUAUAACUAGCUUGUGAGAGGAAGAGAAGUGCACACACAAUUCACAUGGCUAUAAUCACACACCAGCAUCACAUUUGGUGUGGCCAAACCUUUUGUUUGCUAAGGAUGUAUUGGAGUUAGAAUAUUCAAAAUACAAAUAGAUAAUAUUCAGCUUUUAGAUCCAAUACAUAUCAUGACUAAGAUGUGAUUUUUAAUAUUGUAAACCUCGGUUACUCUAGAGACAACAUUUUUAAAACUGGUCCUUAUGCAAGCAAGACGGCAUGGUUAACUAGCUUAAUAAGUUUGUUGCUCCCAUUAUUAGUGCUGUUAAUUAAUUGCUAGCUUGCUAAUUAUUGUGAACCAAACAUUUGUAUUAUUGACUCAUAAUUGCUAGCUCUUGAUGAUGGCAUGGUGUACUAAUGUACAAUUGUACGAACUUGCUAUUAUUUUCAAUGUGACAUUUCAGUUUGUGGUGUGUAUUUUUCAAUGUGACAGACGAUAUUUUUGGUUUUGAUGCUCGAUCACAUGGUUUACUUAUUUUCGCCAAGUGAGAGAAUGCAUUUCUUCUUUCAGUAGAGACACUAGAAUUUAUUCUUUAGACGUCAGGUGUUCAAGAUAGUAAGUAGUUCAAGAUAAGUAUAUAAUCUUCGAUCGAUUUGUCAAUCAAAGAAAGGUGACACCCAAUUCUAAGUUACUCAAAUAUCAAACUUAUUGACCCUCAUAAUUUACAAAAAAAUUUCCCUAAUCUAAACAUCGAGCAGGACUGCAGGAAUGCCAUUUAAAUUGUCACUAGUGCAUAAAACUAGUAGCAGCAGCAUGCUUUCAGUACGAUCCCUAAAAUUGAAUCAAACACAUACGAGGCAAUAACUGCAAUGCCCUUAUAUUUUCAUAUCAUUCCUUCAUGAACCAGAGGCAGUUUUAGUAUAUGGCUUUAUCACUUAUGACCCUACUUCGACACCUUAAUGAUUAUCAAAUUGGAUGAAACUUGACAUAAAUGAUCUAUAUAUUAUGUUCUAAAAACUAAACGGCGGAGAUGUGGAUACAUGACCGAAAAAUAAGCAAAAAAAUGACAUUCACACUUUAAUUUCAGAGCGAAGCUUUGCGCUGGAUAGGAAAUAUAUAUAUAUAUAUAUAUAUAUAUAUAUAUAUUUAUUGGGGAGCAUAUUUCUUUCUUAAUUGAUGCGAAAUUAAGCACCAUGCAUGGUAAUCAGAUGAAGAACAUGCAGUUAGCAAAAGGGUGAAAGAAUAUAGUAACUUAGAACUCGAGCAAUUUUAUUUAUCAUACACCAAUCUCUUUUGCGAACUUGUCACUACAUAAACCAAUAGCCCCCUUCUUCAUCUUCUUGUUUUUCUUUUUCCUUUUUUCCUAUCCAAGCAAAUAGUUUCAUAAGUGACACAUUACAUGGAGGGUGUGCUUGAUUGAGACGUAUAGAUAUACUCCCUCCUUAUACACACAAAGAAACAAAUCCUUAUUUCAACCAAAACUUAUUUAGACAAGGCAUCGAUAAGACUAAGCACAUGGAAAUUCCUCAUACAAUAAUUUGGUGGUAUGAACAACCUCCAUGUGAUGUUGAUACUUGACUCAGACUCCUAUAUUGCUCGAGGGAUGGAGAACAUUUACCUUCAUAUCUAUAUCGAUCGGAACUCGAUCAAAUAUAUAUACCAAGUGAUUAGUUUCUAUUGAGAAGUUCCUCUAUCAUCUGCAAUGCAAUCUUUUCCUCUUCGAGUAGUCUGUCAUACCCACUGUCUAAUAAUCCUUCCAUUUCCUGGCCAUCGGACACUUCAGGGGCGCUAGUACUAGUACUCUCCUCCUUCUCCCCUUUUAAACCUGCAGUCUUCUGUCCCAGCUCCACCAUCAUCAACCAAUUUGAAUCUGAACGUGGCCCGGCGCGUUUUUGCCAAACGCCGAUGUGGGAAUUCUCUGUGUCGAGCCUGAGGCAAGUGAGGGAAGGAGAGGGAGACUUGCAACACUUGCGAAGCUUGGCGCUGAGGAUCGCAGAAAGUGAAUUAGAAGUAGAGCUACUGGAGUUGCUGUUGUUGUUGAUAGCAGGAUCCUUAUUAGAAGCAGCAAUUUCACUGGUAGUGACUGGAAAGUUUGUUUUUGGCAUUUCGACCGCUCAUCAGAAUCGCAGCCUCGUCGUAGGCUCGUGCUGCCUCUUCUGCACUCUCAAAUGUCCCAAGCCACACCCUCCUUUUCCUGCAACACAAGAUAGUACGUUAUUAACAGUACGUAGAUAAGAAUCAUAAAUGACAUAUAGUUAAUCAGUACGUAACAUUAAGCUAGUCACUACAAAAAAUACCUUGUGCGACCAUGCUACUGUUCUACCAUAUAAUCAAUAACCAGAAGACUUAGACCAGCAGUCCUAUACAGAGAUUAAUUCUAACAAGUAGUCCUGAAACUAGAAUAAAUAGAAAAUGUGGAUAUAUAUAUAUAUAUAUAUAGUUUGUUGAGUUUAGUGUAUAUACGGCAUGGGAUUAAUGAAUGGUUAAGGAGGAGAAGAAGAACAGAUAGCUAAAGAGAGAAAGAGCUCGAGUUACAGUAAGGGAUGACGAAUCUCAGAAACCCAGGAGCCCCAGUGGCGUUGCCUGACACCUCUGAACUUCUUUGACUGUACCAUAGUUUGUCAGAAUGAACUGAGUGAGCUAGUAGUGAGGGAGGGAGUGAUGAGAGAAGUUUGUAAGUAGAGGAGUGUGCGUCAUAAAAUGUGGGAGUUGUGAGCUUCUAAUACAAAACCGAACCUAAGGAUGGGUCCUAGGACAGCUACAUGUACAUUUAUAAAACUCCCUUUUCUUUUCCUCGAUUUUUUUUCAUUGUGGCUUACAUUCAGAGAAAAUGUAGUUAAAUUUAAACAGUUUCAACGUUUCAACCCAUUCUCAAUAGUGAUAACAUUUUAACUUCUUUUUCUUUAAUGGAGUUUAGAAUUUUACUUUAGAAGCUCAUUGCCACACCCACAAACAAGAGAGCUUGACAAGUCGACGGUCCUUCCCAAUCCCCUUAAGGGCCUAUAUCGCGCAUCAUCCUGUUCAAGACAGGAGGUAAAAGAGAAGUGAAUAUGAGCAUUUCUAUUUUGCAAGCCGGAAAGAAGAUUCAAUGAGUUUUUUUUCUUCUCUUUUAAGCCGAAAGAACAUAAUAACGUUAAUUACAAUCAUGUAAGUAAUCAUUGAUCAACUUAAUCAAGCAGUUAAUUUGUCCGCAGUUACUAGCUAGGCUAAUCAAACUAUCAAGUUCAUACAAAAUGUACUUAGGUAAACUGUGAGAAACUCUAUUGCAUUCCUAGGAUUGAAACAAACUUUGUUGGUAAUUGUUGCGUGCAUGCAAUAUUGUCUUGAUGUCAUCUACUAAAGAUUCUUCUUCAACGUUCCCAAAAAGUUUCAUCGAUCAAGAAAAGAUUUUGCUUCUCAUGCCCACUUAUCUAAUAGUUUCUUCAAGUGCUCCCUACAUGUGUCAUCGAGCUCCUCUUCUUAUAUGACGCUCCGGCGCCGUUGCAUGCAUGAAAUCAGGGGAAUAUACCAUCAUUUAUCUGAUUGCAUGAACUUGUGAAUAUGAGAAACAAUGUCUCUCAGACUCUCACUGUAUGAAGAAAACUCUAGUAUCUUUUCAUUUUGCUUUAUGAUGAUAAAAAAUUUCAGAUUCAUCACAACUCCUUGUCGAACGUUUGAGCAUUAUAUUGUGUCCGGCCACAAUGCAUCAUCUUCAAUCUUGCUCCACAAGUAAAUAUUUGUAAUUAUUUGUACGUGAUACAUUAUUUGUACUUGACCGGAAAAAAAAAAAAAAAUUCAAGGCCGACAUUGGAGUUUAAUUUAAAUACACCUCGUGAGGGUAUUUAACACUCCAAGUACUACCCCAACCAAACGAGUUGUCACCGUCGACCCCGAUUUGGCUCCUUUCACUGGCCUUCUAUACCUUGCUUGCAUGCAUACCAAUAUCACACUAUAUAUCCUAGUGUGGCUGCUAGCUUACCUUUAUCAAUCUCUGCACUAAAUCGUAAGAAUCAAAUCUCAUCUACCAGGAUGAUACUGGUAUCAAUUCUAUAACAGAAAUAUGAAAUAUCACAUAGCUUUGCUUUUGGAAUGGACCCGUUUGGACAGCUUGAUUCUUACCAUGAAUGGCUAAGACAUUCAAUGUUGAUUUCUCAUCAGCUAAUUGAAAACUGGCAGAAAAACUAGGGUCGAACACUUGAACUCGAAUAUAAGUUGCAGCUUUAUUAGGUAUUUAGGUUCAGGUGCAGCAAACUAGUUUUUAUCAAACUGCAGUAAAUUAGUUCUUGUAUAUAUCUGUGAAAGAUGCUUCUUACUAUACACUAAAGGAGGCAUCAAUUAAAUGAGUUUAAUAUGCAGGCCUUCUCGGCUGCGGACGUCCGCACCGAAGGUUUUCGGUGCGGAUUUCCAUUUUUGCACCACUUUCCGAUCGAAUUUCCUCAAACUUCCUUCUAGACAUAUCUAGAUCAUUUUGUGUAAAUCAUCUCUGCAAAAUUUCAGCCAAUUUGGUGAUCGUUAAGGCGGUCAAACUUGCGUUUUUCUGUUAUAUACCUGAACCGAACAGAAUUCAGUCUGUCAGAUUUGUUUUUCAAUUUUGAGGGCUUUAACGAUUACCAAAUUGGCUGAAAUUUUGCAGAGAUGAUCUACACAAGAUGAUCUAGAUAUGUCUAGAAGGAAGUUUGAGGAAAUUCGAUCGGAAAGCGGUGCAAAAAUGAAAAUCCGCACCAAAACUUUAGUGCGGACGUCCGCACUUGAAAAAGGCUGGUUUAAUAUGAAGAAUUAAUUCAUUGCAUUUACAAAUUGACAACUCUACGUACACGUACUUGUGGGGGAAAAGGGAAGGCUAAGUUUUAGAUCUAUCUUUCGGGAGAUUUGUAAGUGGUAAAGAAAGCUAAAUUAUUUGUGUGUUUGGGUGCUUAUUGCUAGUGGCAUUGAAUGGAAAGGUAACAGAUUUGAUGGUUUCGUGGUGGUAUUGCAAUACGUAGGGAGAGCUGGGAUCCAGUAUGGCUAUUAGGAAAGUUAUAAUGCCAACUGAGGAUGAUUAAGUUUUUGGACCAUUGCAUAAUGCGAAUUGUUCACAGGGUUUUACAAUGGGUGAUUCAGAUUAUUAUUAUUAUUAUUAUUAUUAUUAUUAUUAUUAUUAUUAUUAUUAUUUUUUAUUUUUUUAUUUUUGAGGAGGGUGAUUCAGAUUAUUUGAUCUAAGAGAAUGAUGAAACCAUCUCUAAUUUAAGAAAAAUUCUAUAAUGUAUUAAUCCAUGUCAUGCAUCAACUUGGUCAUAAAGUUGUAAAAUUGGUCGUUAAAGUAAUAACACUAGUCCACAAAGUUGAAACUAAGUCCUUAAAGUUGUAAAAACUCAUAUUUACAACAUUAGUCCUCUAAGUGGUAAAAUGUGUCGUUAAAGUGGUAAUUAAGUCCUUAAAGUGAUAAAAGAAAAGUCGUUGCAACUUUGAUGACUUAAUUACCACUUUAAGGACACAUUUUACCACUUAAAGGAUUAAUGUUGUAAAUUUGAGUUUUUACAACUUUAAAAACUAAUAUUACUAUUUUGAUGACUUAUUUUACAAAUUUAGAAACAAGUUGAUGCAUGACAUGCAUCAACACACCAUAGCUUUACCCUUUAUUUAAUUGAUAUUUUCCCCAUAGACGAUCUCAUGAUCAAAGGAAAGAUAUCCAAAGAUUUGCAGGUUCGAAGUGCAUGUAUGGUGAUUGUAGUGCGGAAGUGUCAAACAAGUAUGAAAUACCAAAUAUGAGAAAAGAUGAAGUAAACAAAAAAUCUAUGGAGACCAAAUAUCUUUAGUUAAAACUCAGGUCGCAUAUGGAUAAGCAGUAGUGAGCCGCAAAGCGACUUUUUACAAAUGUAAUGAAAAUGCCCAAUUAGUUUUAUCUUACAAGUGAUUUCACAAAAGAUAUUUCAAUGCAAUUAAGAGUAACUUACCCAUGUAGUUAUAAGUGCAUCUGUGUGGGUGUUUAAGGGAUAAGCUACAUAGAAUGUGGGAAGAACACUAUCUUCGGACUUUAUAACCUAUCAAUCACAAGCACACGGUGUUAGGGGGAAGACCGAGAUGGCCGGCCAUCGACCCCUCGACACCUUAGUCAGAUACAUGAGAGUAGUGUUAAGGUAGGGGAUGAAGUGGAGAGUGGAGCCGUGGAGGUUUACCAAAAUGGAGAGUGAAGAUAUGUAUAACGGUUUUAAUGGUCAUUCAUUAGUGUAGAGAGUGUAGUGUCAUCAAAUGUAAUGGGCUUGGGCCUAAUUGAAGCCCAAAACCUCUUCUAGGCGGCCUGCCGGGUCCCCAUGCAAGGGAGAGGAUUGACCGGGUUCCGUUAAGCAAGGCGUCAUGUGCCGAUAUGGAUCGAACUGUCACUCUAGGAGAGACGGCGAUAGAUUAACCAAUAACUGUAUAAAGAGUAACUAAGAAAGCACAUAGACAACUUUGAGCCGUGGCGUGGUUGGUUAAGGUGGUUAACUAACAACUUUGACGUCAUGGGUUUAAAUCUCAUUGACAUAUGUAGGGUGUGUGAGUUAUUUAAUAAAAAGUUAAAAAAAAAAACUAAAGAAAGCACAUAGAGCAACUGAGGUAGAGAAAUCAUGGAAAGUAGUCAUAGAGAAUAACCAGAUAUUCGAACCAUAUAUUAAGAGUAUUUGUGGAUCGAUAAUAACCAUAAUAAGCAAGCAUAAAGAGUGACCUGAUCGAGAACAAUAUAAAGUAACCAUGAAGCAUCAGGUAUAGCCAAUAUGUGUUAGCUGACCAUAGGGCGUGACCGUGAGGCAUAACAUAAGGCGUGACCGUGGCACGUAAGGGUGAGAAGUAGGAGCAACCGGUGUGUAACCGUAAGAAGUAGUGAUAGGGAAGGAUGAUAGAGAUGACCAAGACCAUAGAGAAUCAUCAUAAAGAACAUCCAUCAAGAGACCACAUAGAGUAUCAUAAAGAGCAUCCAUAAAGAGAAACCAUAGAGAGACCACAAGGAGUUAUCAUAAAGAGCAUCCAUAGAGAGAAAUGAUGUAGAGUAAGUGAGUAACCAUAAAGAAGGGCCGUAGAGUGUAAUCAUAGAAGAUAACUGUGGCGGGUAGGAUGUAAAAGUCCCCCUAGUACCAGGAACAAUUGUCGUGGUUAGAGCGAGGGAGGAUAUGUUGUGCUAGUGUCGGGAUGAUUGUUGCAGACUAGGGUGACCCAUACAUAAUUAAAUUGGUGUUUGUUGGGGAGAGUUUUGCACUCUAUCGUGGAUGGUGUAUAAGUGUCAUACGUGUUUUAGGGAGUGACGAGACUCACCUCGAAGAGUGACGGUACUUGACUAGUACCUGGGAGUGACAAGACUCGCCUCGACAGGCCAAUAAAUACCGUGUAUCGAGGGGUCAAAAACUCGCCCCGAUUGGACUGAUAGAUGCCAUGUACCGAGGGGUUACGGGAUUCGCCUCCAUUAGGUUGACAGGCGUUGUGUAGGGGAGUGACAAGAUUGGGUUGAUAGAUGUCGUGUAUCGAAGGGUUACGAGAACUCGCCUCGGAUACACUGAUAUGUAUAGUGCCAGGGGGUUACGGGAACUCGUCCUGGUUGGUCUGAUAAGUGCCGUCUACUGGGGGUUACGAGAACUCGCCUCGGUUUGGUUGAUAGAUGUCGUGUACCGAAGGGUUACAAUAACUUGCCUUAGUUAGGCUGAUAUAUGUCAUGUACCGGAGAGUGACGGGACUCGCCUUGGUUAAGCUGAUAGGUGCCGUGUACCGGGGAGUAAUGAAACUCGUCACGGUUAGGUUGAUAUUGUGUCGUGUGUCAAGGGUUACAAGAACUCGCCUCGGUUGGGCUGAUAUGUGCCAUGUACCGGGGAGUACUGAAACUCAUCGCGGUUAGGCUAAUACGUGCCGUGUGCCCGGGUUAGGCAAAUGAGUCUAAGUCUCAGAGUCAUAGACAUAUUAAACCCUUGGCAAAUUAAUCAUGGAAACGUUGUUGCGACAUUGUUGCAGUUUCCGAUGACGGUGGUGUUGCUCGAGACGAUGUCGGCGGAGAAAAGGUGCACAUGGAUGGUGGUGGUCAGCCAAGUCUGUGUUUCCUUAAGGAUCUAGUGCUCACUGAUCGGAACUUGGAUUGCUCUACUAUGGCUUCAUUUUGCCAGUUCAAGGAGGAGGCGGACGUCUCAUGUGGCGGUGUCGGGUGUCCAAAUCAAAAUGGAGCGUUAUCAACUGUUUUGGGUUGUUCUUGGGCCCAUUUCACCCGUCACCAAGAGAAAAGAGUAAGUAGGUGAAGGUAGAGAAUGAUCGACUUGAAUUCACAAAUCCAGGACGGGUAGGACAAAACUACCCCUUUAAAGAAAACUUCUACCUUUGUCUAAGUUGAAUAAGCUAGGUCUCUGUUACUUUGAAGAUUCUUUAUAACGACUUGCUCGGCGUUUAGUAUCAAGCCUACUGGACGAGUUGCUUUUCAAAACUUAUAAUACAGUAGUCCUUCUUGUACUAUUCUUUCCAUGAGGCCGCGCCAUAUUUAUGAAAUAUAAAGUCGUUACGUACAAAAAAAAAAAAAUUACUCAUGGCCAUGUCAUGGCAUAGUGGCUUUUUUGGGCUUUACCGACUUAGUAAGCAUGAAUCGUUGGGCUGGGGGCUGCAGCAUUUUACAGGCCUAGCAAAAAAGCAGAAGAGAACAGACACCUGACUCUUAGACAAGAGAAGAAAGCCCAACGCUA